rnacentral:lncRNA from 1 species
CAUUCCUGAUCUUCAACAAGCCUAGACAUUAGAGACCUAAAAUCAGACACUUGACAAAACAAAUAGCAGCUGUUGCUCCCUCCUCCAACCAAAUCACCCUUCUCUUUGAUUAAAUACGCAAACACACACUGGGAGGAGAUAGCUAAAAUCCCCGAAUCUAACCACUUUGCCUACCAUAAAACCAUGUGAAAAUCCAAUUGAAAUCGCCACAAAAAUGUAAUGAAAAUCAGCUGACUGUUGGAUUCGUCAUUCGAGAUUUUAUUUAUGGUCGUUGUUUGGUUCCGAUGUUAAUAAAUCGCAAGCUGUCGACAUUUGGGAUAUAUAUGCUAAAUUGAUUUUUGGAUUGUUUGCCGCAUAAUUGGGAUUUUCUGGGUGUCCGAGUGUGAUUUCGACUUUAGAAACGGAAGCUGCGUGUGUUGACACUGCUGUUGUUGAGCUCCAAUCUACUGACGUCAGUGUGUAUUUGGCUUUCUUCUUCUAUUAAUUCGAACCUUGAGCAGCGAGGUAUGGAAUUGUGAUUUCCGUUUGAAUCCUUUGUAUUUUCAAGGUCUGUCAGCUAUUAGGAAGCUUCUAAUAUAACUCUGGGUACGCCCGAGGACGAAUGUUUGGUUAAGUUGGGGAGGAUGUGACGACUUGACACAUCGUCUUAUGUAUUACUGCUUUGUUUCCCCCUUAUUUUAUUGCUUCAUAUUUCAAUAUCGGUAUUUGAGUCGAUCGGGUGUAAUUGAAUUGGUAUUUGGUUGAAAAUAAGGCACAUAGCCUCUUAGAAGGAAGCUUGUUUUGGAAAAGUCAACCGGAUUGAUAAUAAACCAAAUCUUUAUGGUAAGGAUAUUAUUUAUUCCUGUAUAUGUUUGAGGUAAUGAGUCUUACAGGUGUUAUGCAGCAAAGCUUUUAAGUGUUGGCAGUUUGUUUAACUUAAUCUGGAUAGAAGAACUUAGUCCGAUUCGAUUAGCUUCGGGAUAUGAUUUGUGACUUAGGAGAGCGAUCAGAAUUGAAUUUGGAGGCCCGGUGAAGAAUUAGGCUUGAAUUGGCGAAGUUUGAAUUUUUGGCGGAUUCCGGUUGAUAGAUGAGAUUUUAAUCCAAGGGUCGGAAUAGAAUUACGAGAGUUGCAGUAGCUUUAUUAGGUAAUUUUGGAUAUGUCUGCAAAUUUUAAGGUCAUUCGGACAUCGUUUGGUCGGGUUUUUUAUCGAAUAUGAGUUUCGGAUGUUUUAAGAAAAUUUAAGCUUGAAUCCGUAGUAAUUUGAUGAUUUUUGUGUUGUUGUACGUGUUUUUAUGAUUGGAACAAGUUCGUAUGAUAUUUUGGGGUAUGUUGGUGUCUAUGAUUGAGGUCCCGGGGGCCUCGAGGUGAUUUCGAGUGUUCAAACGGACUAGUUUCGGCCUUGGGAGAGAUCAUAUUUUUGCUUUCAUAUGUUGCAGACCAUAAAGCAUCGCGAUCACGUGAGGAGUAACGCGAUCGCGUAGAGUAAUUUGAGGACCUGGAAUUCUUGUGCAUUGCGGUCGCGUGAAGGUUACCGCGUUCGCGUAGAGCAGGGAUGUUGUGCAUCCCGUUUGAAGGAGAAAUGUCGCGUCCACUUAGAUCAUUUGGACUGUUAAAAUUUUUUUGCCUUCGCGUUCAUGUGGGAGAAGUCGCGAAUGCGAUAAAGGAUUUUGGACCUGGGCAGAUUGUUUUUAAACCAUUUCAUCCGCGACUUGGGUUUAUUUUCCACCAUUUUUGAGCAUGCUUGGGAGCUUUUGGCAAGAAAUUAAGAGGGUUUCGAUUGGGAGUCGGUUGGAGGUAAGUUUUAUGAUUUAAAGACGUCAUUUAAUCGAAGAAUCAUCCAUUAAUUCUCUGAAUUUGAGUAUAAAAUUGAAGAAACUAGGGCUUGAGUUUUGACAUUUUCAAAUAGGGAUUUGGUAGGUCAUUUAAGCUUGGAUUUGGUAGUUCUUGGUAUGUAUGAACUCGUGGCGAGACGAGGUCUGGAAAUGUAAGUUUCGUAAUUUUCAAGAACCGGGCCCGGGGCUCGGGUUUUGCUAGUUUCGAGGUUUUUGCUAUAAUAUGAUGGUUUUCGAUUGGAUAUUGUCCCAUUUUCAUAUUGUGAUGUAUUCACUCUGUUUUUUGCUAGAUUUGACGCGUGUGGAGGCCUAUUUGAGGGGCAAAAUCGUCAUGAGCUUGCGAUUUCGCCGGUUCAAGGUGAGUAAUACUUGGGAAUGAUAUCCUGAGGGUUUGAAACUCUGUAUUUGCACAUCUUAGUAUUGUAUUGUUGUGACUUGCACGCUGGACCUGAGCGUGGGGUAGAGCACCAUUGGGAUUGUGACUUGGUUCGUUCCAGUUGUUAGUGUUUACCGCUAAAUUGUAAAUGUUUUGUUGUUAUCAUUAUGACUUGGUCUCAUUGCCAUACUUGGGGCAUAUUGCCAACUAUUUGAACCCUUGUUGAACUAUCAUAACUGUUCUUCCUCACUAUUUGAAAUAUCAUUGAACUCAGUCCAUGUGACUUACAUUGUUUAUUGAACUCAGCUAUAUUUUUACUUAAACUUGGAGUUUUAAACGAUAUUUGAACUAUUAUUUGAGUUGAGUAUAAUUGUUUACGGAUGCCUGAGGGGCUUUUCACUAUUUUGGAUUUAUUGAGGCUGAGGCCCAUAUGUAAGGGUGUGAAGAUGUUGUAAGGAGGCUUUCAGGCCUCGAGUUUUGUGUAAGCAUGUGCACAUACAUGCAUGGAUCGGACUGCACGCCGCAGUAGCAUAUUGCAUGGAUCGAACUGCACGCCGCAGUAGAAUAUACAUGCAUGGAUCGAACUGCACGUCGCAGUAGCAUAUUGCAUGGAUCGGGCUGCACGCCGUAAAUUAUAUAUGGAAUAUUGGAUCGGACUGCACGCCGCAACAUUUUUGCGCUUGGGCUGACGGAGCCCCUCCGGAGUCUAUACACACCCCUAGUGAGCGCAGGGUACCCAUGGAUCGGGCUACGCGCCAUAGCGGUCAUGUGCAUUGCAUUGCAUUCACGCNNNNNNNNNNNNNNNNNNNNNNNNNNNNNNNNNNNNNNNNNNNNNNNNNNNNNNNNNNNNNNNNNNNNNNNNNGGUCAUGUGCAUUGCAUUGCAUUCACGCAUUUACUCCUGUUUGUACUACGUGGCACGACAUUUAGCACUCAUAUAUCAUUAGCAUACAUACUGUUAGUGUUGAGCCCGAGAGGCUGAUGUUAUAUGUUGUGAGUCGGGAGUGAGCCCGCGGGGCUGAUACUGUACUGAGAAGUUGAUGCUCAGCUCUAGGGGCAGAUUUCUGAUUACUUCCUACUGGUUGAAAUUAUCUUUGCAACUGUUGAAAAGGCAUAUUUUCAAAAGAUAUUUUGAACUGAUCUUGAGAUUUUAUAAAGGGAUUUUUACGGUAUUUUGGUUUUUCUCAAAGAGAGUUUUCUAUCUUUUAUAGCAGUUUGGGGUGCUCAUACAAGUUUUCUUAUCGCUCAAAUAUUAUUCUCUCUUAUUACCACGGAGUUGGAAGUACUCGCUUUACUCCCUGCACCUUGCGUGCAGUUCCAGCUAUUGUUCACCUGAUAGUAGGUUAUUAGUAGGAACGAAGGCCUUAUUGUGGUAGUUGAGCAAGGUGACCGCCAGCGUUUGCGGCACUGCACUCCAACUUUGUAUUCCGGUUUUAUCUUGUAUAUAUAUACAUUGUUGGUCCAGUAGUAGUGACCCUACUCAUUAGAUGCUCGUGACUUGUGACUCCCCGGUCGGGCUGUAUUGGUAUUCAUAUUAAUUAAUGUCAUAAAUUUAGAUUCGAUCUGUUAUAUAACUGAAUAACUGCUUAGAGAGGAUUUGGGGUUGUUGGCUGGCCUUGUCUUCACGAGAGGCGCCAUCACGACUGCGUAUGGAAUUUGGGUCGUGACAAGUUGGUAUCAGAGCCUAGGUUACUAGGUCUCACGAGUCAUGAGCAGGGUUAGUAGAGUCUCGCGGAUCGAUACAGAGACGUUUGUAUUUAUCAUCGAGAGGUUGCAUAACCUUUAGGAAAACUUCCCCUUCUUGAAAUUCUUAUCGUGCGUACUUGAUUCAGCUUUAGAUAUAAUUCUUGAUAUUCCUUCCACACGUCUGUAUGCGCACGUGAGUGCUCAGUAGUAUAUGUGCCUUGAUGGCUUGUGAUUCCAUCGAUCGACAAGCAAGAGGUAAUCUCCGUGAGUUCGGGUUGGGCCAGUCUGGAGGACUAUUUGCUUAUGUCUUGAGCACAGAGGUGCCAAUUGUGUGAGCAAGUGUUUUGAACUUGUAUGUUCAGUAUUGUUCUUAUUAGCCGGAAUGGCGGCCGGAUAUCCAUGAUAUGGGUAUGUUAGUACUGGGAGGUGUAUCUAUAUAAUUUUGGUAGUGACGAAAAAGUCUGAUGGAUAAUAGAUGAGCUGUUAGGUGCUUGUUUCCUAUUACGGUCUAUUGUGUAUCACGAGGCAUGGGCGCGUGAAGAAUAUUUUCGUAUCCCCUAGCUGGAAAGUGAGGUGCAAUGCAAGUGGCGGUAUGAGUUCAUACUCAGGAAGACUAGAGGAUAUGUGUAUUCACAAAACUUGUAAAUGAUUUGAGUUUGAUCUCAUUGUGACAUCAUUAGAGUAAAAGUGUUAUGAGUUGCUAAGAGUGCAUUAAUAUAUGGCUUCGAGCCAAGUUGGGGAGGUUGUUGUUGGUUAGCUGAUUGCAUGGUUAUGUGCUACGUCGGUUCUGUUUUGAGAUAUGAUGGCGGAUCAUCUUUGGUUACAGAAACUGAGCCGAGGAUGGCACGUGUGAAGGAAAAUUUCUACAAAGGUUAUAUGGUGCUUUCGCAGAGAUUGAGCCGAGGAUGGUAUAUGUGAAGGAAAAUUUCUACAAAGGUUAUAUGGUGCUUUCGUAAAUGUGAGAAAAAUACUAUGAUGUUUUGAGAUGUUAUUGAUAAAGAAUGAUCGGUGCAUAAAUGAUCGGUGCAUAAAGAAGGGAAAAUGGUUAUUUGUAUCUGUAUGAAAUCAUGUUCUGCGGUGUUAGGGUGCUAAUGAGGCACGAGUAGUUCCAUUUAUGUAGAGCAGGUGAAUUGCAGCUGAAUAAGAGUAAACGACUCUCGUGAAUGGUUGUACUAUGUUCAAGAAUUUGCAUGUAACAAUCAGGUGUCUUAAGUUUGUGUAUGUGGCUAGAGACUGUGUUUUCAUUAGAAAAGAUCAAGACUUGUGGUAUGUUAUGUUAAUUAUGGGAUCCUAUGUAUCAAUAUCUGGGAAGUAAUGGUAAUGAAUUCAGAUUAGCAGGAAGUUCUUCGGUGUAGAGCAUUCUGGAAUGUGGUGCUUCCGGGAAGCAUUCAAGAGGGUAUUCAGUGGCAUAUGGGUCUUAGAUGGUGUGGUAUUAUGUGGGAGUCUCGUGUGGCAACCAGAGUUGAGGUAUUGUGGUGCUACAGCAAGGGAGAAUAUCAAAUUAAUGAUGAAUCAGGAAGGAAAUUGGAUAAAAUGGAAUAGCUUGAUAAUGAACCGAACCGGUGCGGUAAGGAUAUGAUUAAUUAUUGUAUGUUCGAGGUAAUGAGCCUUACAGGUAUUGUGCAGCAAAGCUUUUAAGUGUUGGCAGUUUGUUUAACUUGAUCUGGAUAGAAGGACUCAGUCCUGGCAAUUUAGCUUGAGUAAGGGAAUUGGGAGAAAGAGUCCUUGAUGUGUCUUACCGUGGUUCGAAGAUGGGUAUAUUUCCUAUGGGCAUGCGAAGCAUGGAGUGUGUAAUAAUUUUUCUCCUAUAUGGGAUCCUGAAAGUUCUUGACUAGCCUAUGGGUAUGCGAAGGAUGGAGUGUGUAAUAAUUUUUCUCCUAUAUGGGAUCCUGAAAUUUCUUGGCUAGUUGAGUGUGUCGAUGUUUACGGCACAUGAGAGAGAUAGAAGUCCUCAUAUUAUCCUAGUGUGGUUUGGUCUAUAUGUCAUGAUAUGGAGAAUUGAGGUUUGCGUGUUCAAGGUUUUGGUUAAGUUCAUAAUGGGAAAUCAUUAAUUCUUGAGUAGCACGGACAGCUACAGAUGAGUAAAGAUCCAAUCUUCAGAUGAUUAAGGUGAUGCAAAUUGAUGAUACGUCAGUAGCAUUGCGACAGUUUCUUGUUGGAUCGACUGCGGAUAUUUGAGGUUGUUGAUGGCGCAGGGAAUUUUGAAUAUCUUUCGUGGUAUGAAUGGAUACUUGAGGUGUGCUAUGUAUUCAUAUGGAAGAGUGUGGGAUCAUUCUCAAUGAUUCAUGCGUUAUAUGUGUUGAAAACUAGAAGUUCUCGUGAUCCGACCAUGCGGUGGUUGUGGGUCGUGUGUAUCGACAUCGUCUAGNNNNNNNNNNNNNNNNNNNNNNNNNNNNNNNNNNNNNNNNNNNNNNNNNNNNNNNNNNNNNNNNNNNNNNNNNNNNNNNNNNNNNNNCUAGCAGUUGUUGGAAACUGGAGGUCCGAGUGGAUCUUUCUUUGCUUGGUAUGUUAAAUUUGGGUUAUGAUAUUAGAUUGCAGACUGGUUGUUCCAAUGACAGGUUGUCUAGAUUCAUGUGUUAUGGGCUAAGUCAUAAAAAGCCACGGGUUACGUGGUAAGGUGCAUCGAAUUAUUGUUCGAGCAGAGUAGUUUAUUUUCAAAGACCAGCGGAUGGUUGGCAAGUGUGCUUUGUUAAUUGGGCCUUCAUGGGGGAUGUUAGUUCAGAGGUUUCGACCAUUGAUGUAGUUCCGGUAUUUAGGGACCUUUCGGAUGCGUUUCUUGCGGCCGGGCAUGAGGUUAUAUGUGUUUAUUGUAAUGAGAAAUUUGACUCGAUGUGCAUCUCCUUUUGUGAGAUAUAUGUGCAGGAUCGGGUGGCACGCCGCCACGGGUAUGGUAUCUGGAUCGGGUGGCACACCACCACAGGUAUGUUAUUUGGAGCAGGUUGCACGCCGCAACAAUGUGAUGUGGAGAAUAUUUAGGUAUGGUAUCUGGAUCGGGUCGCACGCCGCCACGGGUAUAUUAUUUGGAUCGGGUUGCGCGCCGCAACAGUGUGAUGUGGAGAAUAAUUUUCUAUAUGUUACUUUGUAUGCCUUGCUUUAUCGUGGGUGUGAUGGAUUGCUUGGCUUCAGACCUCAAUCUGUGCGUGGCUAUCUGUGUUGAGCAUAGUGACUUGGGGUGCUUCAUGGGAAAUAGUGUUUGGAUAGAAUCGCGCGUUGUGGAAGGCCACGUGAUGUUAUGACCUUUCGAGGAGGAUUCAGGUACUCUAUUUCUAUAUUGUGAGAUAGGAUCUCAGUUUUGUGUUGUGAUCGUACGGAGGAAUUUGAGUUAUAGCUCUUUCGUUUGAGUCAGUUGUCAUGAUUUGAGUGUGUUCAGAUCGUUUCUUAUUGGUGCCNNNNNNNNNNNNNNNNNNNNNNNNNNNNNNNNNNNNNNNNNNNNNNNNNNNNNNNNNNNNNNNNNNNNNNNNNNNNNNNNNNNNNNNNNNGUUGUCAUGAUUUGAGUGUGUUUAGAUCGUUUCUUAUUGGUGCCUGUGUUGAGCACGUUGUGGCUUAGGUUGGUGAUGAGGUGUCAUAUCACCAGAGUGGCGUGUUGUAGUUGAGAUGAUCGUUGCAGUCAUUAAUGAGCACGGACAUAUUUGAUUUCAGCUUGUUAGAAAGGUAAUAUCGAGGUUUGGCUCCGAAAUCUGUUGUAGUAUCAGUCAGAAGGGAAAUGUACUCAUGAAUGGGUGAUUCGAGAGAUGGGUUCAGUGUUUCAGUUGCCGUUGGCAGUAUAUGAAGGUGAUGGGAUAAGACUUUAGCUAAUAAAAGGGUUUUCCUAUCAGUACUUGGUUAUGGUGGGCAAUUGUUGGAAAUAGAUGCUAUCGUUUCGAGUGUUGGAUUAUGUGAUUUGUUGCAUGGGUUCACCUGAGAUUGCAAGUAUGGGUUAUUACAGUUGGUCAGGGUUUAUUCUGAAUAUAGAAGUGAGGUUCUAAUCUGGUGUAUGAUUUCGGGAAGUGCAAUGUGGUUAAUGGUUUAGAUGGACUGUGAAAUUUCGGCUAUGUUAUGUUAUCGGACCUCUGUGAGAUAGGGUGAUGUGGGAUCGCCCUGGGUAUAGGCUUGGUAAGGUCUUUUAGCUAUUGGGAAGCUUCUAAUACAACUCUGGGUACGCUCGAGGACGAGCGUUUGGUUAAGUUGGGGAGGAUGUGACGACAUGACACGUCAUCUUAUGUAUUACUGCUCUGUUUCCCUCUUAUUGUAUUGCUUCAUAUUUCAAUAUCAGUAUUUGAAACAAUCGGGUGUAAUUGAAUUGGUUUUUGGUUGAAAAUAAGGCACAUGGCCUCUUAGAAGGAAGCUUGUUUUGGAAAAGUCAACCGGAAGUUGACUUGUGAGUUAGAAAGCUCAGAUGUGAUUAACGAUGAUUCGGUUAGCUUUGGGAUAUGAUUUGUGACUUAGGAGAGCGAUCAGAAUUAAAUUUGGAGGUUCAGUGUAAAAUUAGGCUUGAAUUGGCGAAGUUUGAAUUUUUGGCAGAUUCUGAUUGAUAGAUGAGAUUUUGAUUCGAGGGUCAGAAUGGAAUUCCGAGAGUUGCAGUAGCUUCGUUAGGUAAUUUUGGAUAUGUCUGCAAAUUUUCAGGUCAUUCGGACAUCGUUUGGUCGGGUUUUUGAUUGAAUAUGAGUUUCGGAAGUUUUAAGAAAAUUUAGGCUUGAAUCCCCGGUAUUUGAUGAUUUUUGUAAUGUUGUACGUGUUUUUAUGAUUGGAACAAGUUUGUAUGAUGUUUUGGGGUAUGUUGGUGUCUUUGGUUGAGGUCCCGAGGGCCUCAGGGUGAUUUCGAGUGUUCAAACAGACUAGUUUCGGCCUUGUGAGAGAUCAAAUUUUUGCUGUCAUAUGUUGCAGAUUGAAUAUUGUCCGAUUUGCAUAUUGUGAUGUAUUCACUCUGUUUUUUGCUAGAUUCGACGCGCGUGGAGGCCGAUUUGAGGGGCAAAGGCGUCACGAGCUUGAGAUUUUGCCGGUUCGAGGUGAGUAAUACUUGGAAUGAUAUCCUGAUUUUGCCUGGUGUAUUGUGGUGACUUGCACGCUCGACUUGAGCGUGGGGUAGAGCACCGUUGGGAUUGUGACUUGGUCCGUCCCGGUUGUUGGUUUUUACCGCUAAAUUGUAAAUGUUUUAUUGUUAUCAUUAUGACUUGGUAUCAUUUCCAUACUUAGGGAUUACUACCGACUAUUUGAACCCUUGUUGAACUGUCAUCACUGUUUUUCCUCACUAUUUGAAAUAUCAUUGAACUCAGUCCAUGUGAUUUACACUGUUUAUUGAACUCAGCUAUAUUUUUACUCAGACUUGCAUCAUAUAUUUGGCGCAUGCCAUACUUGGGGCUUAUUGUCGAUUAUUUAAACCCUCGUUAAGCUAUCAUCACUGUUUUUCCUCACUAUUUGAAAUAUCAUUGAACUCAGUCCAUGUGAUUUGCACUGUUUAUUGAACUCAACUAUAUUUUUACUCAAACUUGGAGUUGUAAACGAUAUUUGAACUAUCAUUUGAGCUAAGUAUAAUUUUUCACGGAUGCUCGAGGGGCUUUUGACUAUUUUGGACUGAUUGAGGCUGAGGGUCAUAUGUAAGGGUAUGAAGAUGCUGUAGGAGGCUUUCAGGCCUCGAGUGUUGUGUGAGCAUGUGCACAUACAUGCAUGGAUCGGACUGCACGCCGCAGUAGCAUAUUGCAUGGAUCGGACUGCACGCCGUAGUAGCAUAUACAUGCAUGGAUUGGACUGCACGCCGCAGUAGCAUAUACAUGCAUGGAUCGGACAGCACGCCGCAGUAGCUUAUUGCAUGGAUCGGUCUGCAUGCCGCAACAUUAUAUAUGGUAUGUUGGAUCGGGCUGCACGCCGCAUAUUUUUGCGCCUGGGCUGAUGAAGCCCCUCCGGAGUCUGUACACACCCCCAGUGAGCAGGGUACCCAUGGAUCGGGCUACGCGCCAUAGCGGUCAUGUGCAUUGCAUUGCAUUCACGCNNNNNNNNNNNNNNNNNNNNNNNNNNNNNNNNNNNNNNNNNNNNNNNNNNNNNNNNNNNNNNNNNNNNNNNNNNNNNNNNNNNNNNNNNNNNNNNUAUGCUUGCCAAUGUCAUUGCAUUCACGCAUUUACGCCUGUUUUUACUAUGUGGCACGACAUUUAGCACUCAUACUAUCAUUUACAAACAUACUGUUACUUGCCUUGUUGACCAGAUACCAUGGUGUUAUAUGUUAAGGAGUGCUAUGCCCGAGAGGCUGAUGUUAUAUGUUGUGAGUCGGGAGUGAGCCCGCGGGGUUGAUACUGUACUGAGAGGUUGAUGUUGAGCCCGAGGGGCAGGUUUCUGAUUACUUCCUGCUGGUUGAAAUUAUCUUUGCAACUGUUGAAAAGGCAUAUUUUCAAAAGAGAUUUUGAACUGAUCUUGAGAUUUUCUAAAUGUAUUUUUACGGUAUUUCAGUUUUUCUCAAAAAGAGUUGUUCUAUCUUUUAUAGCAGUUUGGGGUGCUCAUACAUGUUUUCUUAUUGCUCAGAUAUUAUUCUCUCUUAUUACCACGGAUUUGUAAGAACUCACUUUACUCUCUGCACCUUGCGUGAAGUUGCAGGUAUUAUUCAUCCGGUAACGGGUUAUUAGCUUGACCGAAGGCCUUAUUGUGGUAGUUGAGCAAGGUGACCGCCAGCGUUCGCGUCAGCGCACUCCAACUUUGCAUUCCGGUUUUAUCUUGUAUAUAUAUACAUUGUUGGUCCAGUAGUAGUGACCCUACUCAUUAGAUGCUCGUGACUUGUGACUCCCCAGUUGGGCUGUAUUGGUUGUCAUAAUAAUUAAUAUCGAAAAUUGAUAUUUGAUCUGUUAUAUGACUGAAUAGCUACUUAGAGAGGAUUUGGGGUUGUUGGCUGGACUUGUCUUCACGAGAGGCGCCAUCACGACCGUGUAUGGAAUUUGGGUCGUGACAUUCUUUUAUUAAUUCAAACCUUGAGCAGUGAGGUACGUUCCCUGUAAAUUUGUUCUCGGAUGUGUUGUGGUUAUGGAAUUGUGAUUUCCGUUUGAAUCCUUUGUAUUAUGAUUUGUUGAAGGAUUCACAACUUGUUGAAUUUCCUCUUAGCUAUUUCAUGUUUGCUGAGAUUGUGAUUUAUGUUGCUUCAAUGGGCUUUGAAUGCGUGUUUGGGAUUUAAUUUGGGUGGAAUAAUAAAAAAUGGUUUGGAAAUGAAUGAUCAAGAGGGCACAGAUGAAAUUUGGGUGUUUCACAUUGCUGUCGCAAUAGUUUCUGGAAAAUGAAUUUCAAACAAAUGAUACACAUUGAUUGAUUGGACGAUUCUAGAACUUUUUACAUGUUUCUGUUAUAAAAUGAGCUAUAUAUUAUUUAAUUUAGCUAAAGAAGUUAUGUACAUAAAGGUGAAAAGCAGUAAGCUAAGUGUUUCAUAUUGUUUUGGGAUCUGAUUUUAACUAUUUAUUUACAUGAAAAUUUUAAAUUCGUCUACGGUAAUGUGCAGCCGUUUCCAUGGAUUAUUAGUGUGUUCAGACGACUGAUUCUUAAAAGUGUCCCUAAAAUCGAUAGUGCUAGGUUACAAAUCAUUAUGAUAUUAUGUUUGUAGUAUCUUUGGUAUCUCCUUUGGUAAUAUUAAGUUGCCUAAUUCUAGUGUUAGUUAGCAUGUGUUUGAGUGCAUUUGUUGUGAUGUGUUUGAGAUUUGCUUAGCUAGUUUUAGUCGAAGAUAUAUUUUUAGUUUGGAUUAAUUUGAGGCUUACACCUACCAAAUUGAUUUUCAUAAAUUCUUGGCCUUACAAUAAUCUUGAAGUAGUUUAGAAAGGAAAAAUUAUGAACACCCGUAUUUGGCUUUAGUUGAGUACAAUUUUUGGAAUAAAUUGAGGUGUACCGUGCCAAAUAAAAUUUCAAAUGCAUGGCCCUCGCAUAAUUAAAAUCCUUAGAAUUCGAGGCGCGCUAUUUAUUGAAUUUCCAUGGCCCUCGCAAAGUUAAUAACGUGCUAGACUCUUUAGGCUCGAGUUUAAUAAAAUUACAUUCCUAAAUAGGGUGGGCAUUUUAUGCGGCCCAAAUCUAAAUCCUAAAAUAUUGAAUAGAGUGUGCCUAGGAUUGAAGGUUCAUUUGAUGCGGCGCAAUCCUAAAACACACUUUAAAUGACGUUCACUUUCUCAAAGAAAUAUUAUAUUGAAUAAAAGUGGUAAAAAGUAAAAAUUUGCACAUAGUCUCUUCAUGUAAUAAAAAUCAGAUUUUGGCCAUUCAUGGCAAUUUAAGAGACCGUGCUAGAACCAUGGGGUCCGAAGGUGCCUAACACCGUCCCUCGGGUUAACAAAAUUCCUUAUUCAGAACUUCUGGUUCGCAGACUCCAAUUGGGAAUUCGAACAUUUUCCUCGGAUUGGGAUUCAAUCUAAACUAGUGACUUGGGACACCAAAAGCCAAACCUUUCCCAAGUGACGACUCUGAAUAAAUAAAUAAUCCCGAUCUGAAUAAUGUCACUUUAAAUGGAAAAACUCCCAUAUGCAUUAUCCUCAGGGGUAGGUGUGUAAAAAGAGGUUGUGACAGCUCUAUCGACUCUUCUGGGGACAAGAACCCAGAACGUUUUGUUCAGGGUUCAGAAUUCGAGUUUAGAAUAAUUGUUGUGUUUGGCUUUAUCUGAUUCUGUUACAUGAUAUGUGCUUAAUGUGCUAAUAGAUUGAUUUUACCACUUUGAUAUUACGUGAUCUGUGUAUAUACUGUGCCGAAACCCAUCUCCUCUCUGAGUCUUCUGAAUUGUGACGAAGGGUGUAUGGUGUACGACUUCUUUUCUAUCUAGUGUAAAAUCCUAAUUUAGAACAAGGUAUGGAUAAGUCGCAAAGCCGGCGAAGCUUUUGUAUUCCCGGAUUGCCGCCUCCUAUUCGGCUCGAGCUGUCCGCUCGAAUAAGCUGUGAAUUGUAUAUAAACUGUGUCGAACCAAAUCUCCUCUCUAAGUCUUUUGAAUUGUGAAGAAGGGUAUACGGUGUACGACUUCUUUUCUCUCUAGUGUCAAAUCCCAAUUUAGAACGAGGUUUGGAUAAGCUGCAAAGCCGACGAAGCUUCUGUAUUCCCGGAUUGCCGCCUCUCUUCGGCUCGAGUUGUCUGCUCGGGUAAGCCAGGUCUAGAACAAACACCCAGGUUUUGAACCUAGAAUAACUCAGUCUCAUAUCAGAUCCCUAGUAGGAACGCUUAUUUGCAUCAUGUGCAUUUUGACUUAAGGGACUCAGUACAUGGGUUGGGCCCGUCUAGGGCUAGAAACCUGAAAUGAAAAGACCAUCGUAAUGCAUCCUACUUGUUUUCUGUGCAUUUAUUUGCUCGGGCUUGCAUGUUGAACGGCUUUUGAAUCUCGAAAACGUUAGAUAAAUGAGAAAUUAGAAAAUAUGAAGACGGGGAGUUAGAAAAACCAAUAACCAAGUACUGCUGUCGGAACUCUGCCGAAAUUUUGAAAAAUUGGAAAAAAGGAAAAAUGUUUUUUGUUUACCAAAGGUCAAAAAUGGUUUUGAAAAAGAUUUUUGUCUCAAAAUUAGUUAGCUUAUUUGACGAACUACACGGGUCUGAUUCUCACCGGAUGUGAGAUACGUAGGCAAACCUCAUCGUUUUCGAUCCCAAUUUUCAAAAAAAAAUCAAAUAUAUUUUGCUUAGCUUCUGUUUAAUAAUCUUUCCUUAGAAAAUUCAAAAACUAAAAAUUAGCUUUAAAUUAAACAAAAUGGUUUCCUUCUUUCUAAUAUCUUUCAUACGAAAAAAAUAAAAAUCAACAAAAAUCAAAAUCCAAAAUACGAGUUCCCUUCAUUCUGAAGUAUUUUCCAAAAAAAAAGAAAAUUUCAAAAAUCAUAAACAAAAAUCCAAAAACGCCCUUUAGAUGUCUUUUUUUUUGUUAAAUGUCCUUAAAAUUUUUGAAAAAUUGAAGUCCAAAAAUAUUUCGCUUUUCUUUAAAAGUCCCUCUUUCGAAAAUUAAGAGGCAAUAUUCAAAAUCCAAAAAUAUUUUCUGUCUUCCUUAGAAAAAGGUAAAACAAAUGAAAAUUCAAAAAAAAAAAUUCUACACAAAUUUUGAAAAGGAAAAUUUUAAGUCUUCUAAAAAAAAUCAGAAAUCAAAAUCAAAAAUAUUUUCCUUAAAACAUUUUUUUCAAAAUUCCAAAAAAAAGAGUUCAUUUAUUUACCUUAUUUGCACGAACUGCGCUUGGUCUGAUUCGUGCAGGAUCGCGAUACGUAUCCUCAUCGGAUUCGACCGUAAACAUAAGAGAAAAACAAAAGAGAGGGAAGAAAAUAAAAGAAAAACAAAAGGAAGCACAAGAACGGAAGAGAAAUCAAAUAAAAACCAUCGCAAAAGAAAAGGAAAAAUAGAAAAAGAAAAAACAGAAGAAAAAACAAAAUGAAAAAAAAAGAAAAAAAAAGCAGGGAAAAUAAAAGAAAAGCCAGGAUGACGCAUGCAGCCGUUGAUUCGCAAGACUAACCGUUUGCUACUGUAAUUACAGAGUCCGGGUUUAUAAGAAACAUGUGGUUGGUUUUGUGGUAAACUGGCUUUGCACCCCUAUUUUACCAGAUCUAAUGGUAGUACAGAUAUGUCGUCAGAUAUGACCCUGCCAACAAUCUCUAUUUCAGAUGAUAGCCCGCUUUCGGGUAUCCCGGCCUCCGAGUCCUCUGCAGCUGAAGAGAAUAGAAUCUUGCGUCUGAGGGUGAGAUGUGGGACACAUGGACAAAUGGAAAAGAACCCCCGAGUGUCAUCCCUAGAUUUCUCGAGUUGUUCCCAAAGCUAAUAGGUACCUCCAAUGUUACAAUCAGUCACCCGAACAUCACAUUGGGACAGCCUACUAUAUCGGGUCACUAUGUGGGAGAUACUUCUGAGGUUCGCCCCCAAGUAUUCAUGCCCGAGACAGCUCCCAACAUCUUUACGGCUCAACUAUGCUCUGCCACAGUACAACCUUCAUUGCCAAAGCCUGCUUCUAACCCUUGGGUGUUCACUUUCCAGAAUCGUGUCUUUCAGGCAGAUCUUCCAUAUGCUUACCCUCAUCAACCAUCAUAUGAUAUUACACCGGGGCAGGAUAAAACUCCCAAAGCUCCUGAACAAGAUAAAAUAGUGAGAAGAAUGAGGAGCCUCGUGCAGAGCUUUAAAAGUAUGCAAGGCUUAAGCGGGCAGAAGAGUGUCUCCUAUACUGAUCUGUGCAUUUUCCGUCACGUGCACCAUCCCAUGGAUUCAAAACACCAAAGUUGAGAAAUAUGAUGGGCAUGGCGAUCCUAUUGCUCACCUUAAAAAGUUUUGCAACCAAUUGCGUGGAGCUGGCGGAAAAGAAGAGUUGUUAAUGGCUUACUUCGGAGAAAGCUUGGUGGGCAUAGCUUCAGAGUGGUAUAUGGAUCAACACACAUCUCGAUGGCACAUUUAGGAUGAUCUUGCCAAAGAUUUUGUUUGACAAUUUCAAAUUCAGAGUGGUAUAUGGAUCAGGACACAUCUCGAUGGAAAAUUUGGGAUGAUCUUGCUAGAGAUUUUGUUCGCAAUUUCAAUACAACAUUGACAUCGCAUCAAGCCGGAAUUCUUUGUCAAACUUGAAGAAGAAACCCUUAGAAAGCUUCAGAGAAUACGCUAUUAAAUGGCGCGAGCAAGCAUCAAGGGUGAAACCUCCCAUGGAUGAAAUAGAAAUGGUCAUUGUCUUCCUCCAGGCUCAGGAACCAGAUUACUUCCAAAACAUGAUGUCGGCCAUGGGCAAGCCUUUUGCAGAGGCCAUCAAAAUUGGUGACAUGGUAGAACACGGCUCCAUGCUCAGGAACCAGAUUAAUUCCAAAACAUGAUGUCGCCCAUGGGCAAGCCUUUUGCAUAGGCCAUCAAAAUUGGUGACAUGGUAGAACACGGUUUGAAAACGGGUAGAAUCUUGAGUCACUCAGCCAUCAGAGCAACCUCCCAAGCCAUUCAAGGCAGGUCUGAAGGAAUGGCAAAGAAUAGAACAAGAGAAGAAACAACCAUGGCGGCAUCAGGGGAAAGAAGAUACCGGGCUCUUAGACAUGUAUUUUUUGAAAGAACCCCUCAACACUACUAUCCUCAUUCUGAUAUGGUCUAUGCUCCACCACCUUAUGCGGUCAUGAACCCUCAACCUUUCGCCCAACCGCAAUUACAAGAUAAGAGAAAUCAACCUCCAUUCCAAAGAAACCAGCCUCCUCACCAGAACUACAAUAAUCCUUGAUCUCCCCAGAAUAACUUCCAUCCCCGGGAACCACCCAGGAGACCCAACUAUACACCAAUCGGUGAACCCUACUCCACCCUGUUCCCUAAGCUCGUCCAGAUGAAUUUACUGCAACCAAUACCCCCAAACAGGAAAAACCCGGAAUCACCAUCAUAUCAGCGGGGUGUCAGAUGUGACAAUCAUUCAGGGGUAGAGGGGCACGAUACAAAUGGCUGUUGGACUCUGAAACAAGCGAUGGAGAAUUUAAUAGAGCAAGGGAGAAUCGUGUUGAAGAAUGAGGAUGUCCCAAAUGUGACCAAUAAUCCGCUGCCCACUCACAACAGCGGGCCAUUAAUUGGGAUGAUUUGUGAGGACAAAGAAUUUGAUCCGGCACUUAAGGCUAUAAUUGCUAUUGCUGAUGAAGAAAGGAAGCCCGGGGAAGCCCCGAAACAUGAGAAAGGGGAAAAGAAAAGUAAUAUCACCGAGACAAAACCGGAAAAGGAAAUUGAUAUACCCAAGCAAGCCUAUGUGGUAUGGGGGACAAUCAAACCACCUCGACUGGAUGAGCCAGUGGUUAUUGGACGCAUACCACAGAAACCCAAGUACAGUGAAGAGGAAGAUGAUGAGGUUUUUACGGAUGAAGAGAGUGCGCGAAUACGUGAGGCAAUGAGGAAAAUCUCUGCAAAACCCACAUGGUCCAGUCAGGAGAAGGCACUAGCACUGCUAAGGUGUUAUACAUGGGACCAAGCACUAAGCUUCAAAAAUAGAAGGCUACGCCAUUCCUGGUCAGGCGGGAGUCCUAGUAGACUUGUCCUGCCACUUUUUCUGCAUCGCGAGUCAUUCCAGGGUGUGACUCGGAUGUUUUCUUUAGUUUCCUGUCUUUAAAUUCCUGAAUGUUCUUCCCAAAUUCCAAGAAAUGAAAUUAAUAUUUCAUCGUUUAUUUUCUUUAUUUUUUCAGAGUUUGCUAUGUUUUUUACGCAAGUCAUUCCAGGGUGUGACUUAGAAGUUUUCUUUAGUUUCAUGUCUUUAAAUUCCUGAAUGUCUAACCCUGUUAUCUUCCCAAAUUCCAAGAAAUGAAAUCAAUAUUUCAUCGUUCAUUUUUUUUUCCAGAGUUUAUUAUGUUUUUUUUCUCUUUUUCUAAUAAUGCAGUUUUAAAUAACAUGACAUGCUUGCGGACUUCAUGCACAGAUCCCAAGAAUUCUAUCAGGCUUUGAAAUAAUAAAUCAAAAGUUGUAAUACAAAGAAGUUAAAUUUGAGAAAAUAAAAGAAAAGAAUCGGAACAACGGAGGACAAUUGGUUUGUGGUAUGGGAAAGGCCUGUCACUAAAGCAGAGUUUAAGGACAAUAAGUGGGUCUAGACUCGUAUCGAACGUUGGCCUUAAUUGAAAUGGAUGACUGCAAUGUGUCACGGACAAUUGUAUUAACAAAGCAUGGCCCGUGCUUAAAUAAGAAAGCACGACCGGGGAAUUUUGAAGUAGGACAAUUCGUGUUAAGUUGAAAUCUUCCUCAUUACCAGGAAGCAAAAGGAAAGUUUUCUCCUAAUCAGAAGUGUCCAUACAUCAUUGGAAAUAUUCCCAAGAGGAGCAUUGUAUCUGGGUGACAUCAGAAAGAAAUGACCCCGAAGCAGUUGUGAACGCGGAUACAGUAAAAAGGUAUUAUGUCUAAACUUGAUCCGGCGAUGUCUUUGCGCAGUUGAGAUGACGAAGGCUUUCAUUCCCGCUAUCCAAACACUAUCAAUCUCUCACAAACCCUUUGAGUCGAUUACCUUUCUUUGAUUACCCUCUUUGGAACCCGAAAGUGCUAUUGAAAAUAAAAGGAAAAGGAAAAGAAAAGAAAAGAAAAGAAAAGAAAAAGGAAUAAGAAAAAGAAAAAGAAAAAAAAGAAAAAGAAUAAAAGAAAAACAAAACCGAAACAAAAACAAAAACAAAAUUAUUUGCAUGAACUACGUUUGACUUGAUUCCGAAAGAAACGUAGGCAGUUUCUCCCUGAUGUUCAAUCACACCAAAACAAAAAUCCCAAUUCCUCCAAAAAGUGAAACUGGGGCAGAUGAUAAAACUGUUCGGCCGUGAGACCGCCAAUAUGGUUCCAAAGUUGUAGUUCCGCCCAAAAUCCUUUUACCCCAAAUACCUUGUCCAAGUCCUUCUGAUCAAUUGGCAAAGACAUGAAAAUGAAAUACAUUAUUGUUGGAAUCUGAUACAAAUCAAAUUGGGAGAAAUAAAAUGAGAGAGUCUUAUCGAUGAAAACCUUCGGGCGCCACAAGGCGACGGUGAGUAGAGAAAACAAAAAUGAGAGAGUCUGCUUAGCCAAAACUCGCAAAGAGUGCUAUCGGACGAUAGUGAGAAGAGAAAUGAGAGAGGUCGAUUAGGGAAAACCCGCAAAGGGCGUUGUCAGCCGAAAAGAGGAUACUUAAUCACUAAAAGUCCAGGCAAGGUUCCCAAGUUUGGAAAUAUGGGUCAAUGGGUUCAUGAGAAGUUGGAACCCCAGAUAAGUCCUUCUUUUCCCCCGAAAGGGACGGUUCUCUUUAAACUCAUAUGCUUGCCUUUUGCAUACUUUUCUUUGAACCCCUUUCAGUUUAACUCUAAUUCCGUAACAAUUACAAAUAAAAGGUGGCAGGACUGGUUUCACAGGGCUCCGCUGGCAAGAACCAAAGGAAGUACCUAGCCUCAGUGGUGCGUCAGUCCAAUCCCGACUGAUCAUGAUUGUCGAUUUCUCCCAAAGUAAAAGACAUUAGAAAGGAAAAGAAAAUCAAAGGCAAAGGUCUUGAAAGUAGAAUAAAGUAAAAUGACAGAGUCCACACGGGUGAGUCAUCAUGAAAUCCUAAGGUUGAACCCGGUCAGUGUGAAAGAAAGUCACCCUCAACGCCAACAUGCAGCAAAGUUCUCAACGGAAAUGGGGUCGGGGUCAAGCGACGGAGAUGAUCAAGGCCACAAAACCAAACAAUGUUUCAACUAACAAAUUGUUCUUUGUUGAAAACAGGUCUUACUCAAAACAAUCGUGCAAGAAGCAGGUGCAACCCAAAAGAAAUGAAAUGCGCGAGCCUUGAAAUAGCGUUGCAGCAGGAAAAAAGACCAAAAGGGAAGUUUUCUCAAACACUCUUUCAUGCAUUCUAAUAAAUAAAAAGGAAUAACCUCUAAAAAAAGAAAGAAGAAAAGAAAUGAAAAACGAAAAUCCCAAAAGAGAAUCAAAUCAUGGUAGUUGUAGCUUUUUCUAUCCAAAUCCCGUCCAAAAAAACCGAGGAUCUCCCGGCCAAAAAACCGUGGAGCUUUUUCUAUCCAAAUCCUGGCAAAAAAGUCGAGGAUCUCCCGGCCAAAAAACCAUGUAGCUUUUUCUAUCCAAAUCUCAACCAAAAAACCGAGGAUCUCCAUGGCAUAACCCAAGGAGCUUUUUCUUUCCAUAUCCCGACAUAACCCAUGGAACUUUCCCGGUCAUAAAACCGAGGAUCUCCCUGGCAUAACCCAAGGAGCUUUUUCUUUUCAAAUCCUGGCAUAACCCGUGGAUCUCCCUAGCAUAACCCAAGUAUACUUUUCUUUCCAAAUCUCGGCAUAACCCGUGGACCUUUUCCGGCAUCCGGUGACUUACCCAGCAUAACCCAUGGACCUUUUCCGGCAUAACCCGAUGACCUCCCCGGCAUAACCCGAGGGCCCCUUUCUCUUUUCCAGUAUAACCCGGUCAUUUUUUAAGCAUAACCUGGAUUCAUUCACAAUGAUACACAAUCCUAAUCUGAUCGCUUAGAUAUGUGUCACAACUAACUCAAGAAAUUUUCCUAGCAAAAACUGUGGCAGAAAAUUCCGUUCGUUUGUUUGUUUUGGUAUCUUAAGCAGGUUGACCUCAAAACACAGGAUUCGAGAUGCCCAAAAGAAUGUCAAUCCGGAAUAAAGAAAAGAACAAAAGAAGUGAAAUUAAAGUGCUGAAGUGGAGAAGGACGCAGACUGCUCCAGAUAUGAUUGAAGUCACGAGCUUCGCAUGUCCCGCCUUGAUCCAAAGCUAAAAAAUGCACCAGCGGUAACAGCUGACGAGCAUCAAGAUUCAGAUCAGAGUCUACCUCAAGAACCAGCCAAGACUCAAAAUCAAGCUUCAAGAGAUUUAUAAAUAGGAAUCUUGUAACUCAUAGUUGAUAAGUUAGCUAGCUUAGUUUUUUAUUUUCCAUUUUGGUGUAAUAAGGAGCUCAGCAAGUAGAAACAACAGCAACAACAGCGAAAUCACAGCUUCUCGAUAGUCCUAGCUACCAACACUUCGAUAACUACACUGACCCGAUUCCUUUAUAGCCAAGGAUAUGUAGGCAACCUUUGAAGCAAGGUUCGGUCAGACUCAUUAAAAAAAUGCUUCUCAUGGAGUUUCAAAUGGGCAAAAAUCCUUCGUAAUUGCUUAUGUUAUCUUUGCCCAAAAACCCUUCGUGUCUCCGAGCAAAGAGGGGCAGCUGUGAGCUCGUGAUUUUUGCCCUAUAUGAAAUACUCCAACAAAAUCAAAGAAAAAUAGAUUUUUUCUUAAUUAUUUACCAUUUUAGGAAUCUUUAUAGAUUUUAUUAAUUGUUUGCAUUUUUCUUGCAUGUUUAAGUUUUAUUUAAAUCAUGAAAAAUAUCAAAAAUAUCACUUUACACUUCUAAGGAUUAAUUAGUAAUUACUUAUUUUAAAAAAAUGAAAAUUACAAAAAAUGCUUCAUUUUCACACUUUUUUCUUUUAUUGAUUUUUCUAUUUUAAUUUAGGAUUAAGUAGCUUUUAUAAUUUUUAUAAUUAGUUUAAUUUUACAAUUUAGAUAGUUUAGGAUUUUAAUUUUUAGGAUUUUUAAUCAAAGAAAAGAAAAGAGAAUAAGGACUAGGUUUUAAAUUAAGUAAUUGGGCCUAUUUAAAGCGAAAAUCAGUCCUAAAAAUUACCCAAACCCGUCCAAACCACUCAGGCCCAAAAAAUUGACCCGACCCGCUAAGCCCAAUCCCCUCAUUAGUCUUUGUUUGGCUUUGAAUUUCUGUUCUCGAUCAAUGUUUUAGCAUUUUGGAUCACUAGUUUCUUAUUCUAAUCCUAAAUUUCAUGGAUUAGGAGGUCAAAAGAAAAGAAAAGAGAAUAAGGAUUAAAUUGCAAUGAGGUUUUACAUUAAGUAAUUGGGCUUUUUUAUUAAAGCCAAAAUCAGUCCUAAAAACUAUCCAAACCUGUCCAAACCACCUAGGCCCAAAAUAUUGACCCGACCCGCUAAGACCAAUCGCCUCAUUAAAAUCCCUAAAAUCUAGAACCUUCUGAAGGAGGGAACACGCAAAAAUCGAAGACCCUCCCAUGAACUAGAGACACGCAAAAAGCGUGACUCUUUCUCCCAUCAUCUUCAACGAAAAGGCCCAUGCUCCUCCAUUCUCUCCAUAAAAAAUCAGCCACAACAUAUACAUAGAGGGGACACACGUAAAAUCAAAGACCCCUCCCCUUCUCUGAGCUCCCUUUUAUUCUCCAUUCCUGAUCUUCAACAAACCUAGACAUUAGAGACCUAAAAUCAAAUACUUGACAAAACAAAUAGCAGUCAUUGCUCCCUCCUCCAACCAAAUCACCCUCCUCUUUGAUUUCUCAUUUUCCCUUCAAAAAAGUUACGCAAACACACACUGGGAGAAGAUAGCUAAAAUCCCUGAAUCAACUACUUUGCCUACCAUAAAACCAUGUGAAAAUCCAAUUGAAAUCGCCACAAAAAUGCAAUGAAAAUCAGCUGACUGUUGGAGUCGUCAUUCGAGAUUUUAUUUAUGGUCGUUGUUUGGUUCCGAUGUUAAUAAAGCGCAAGCUGUUGACAUUUGGGAUAUAUAUGCGAAAUUGAUUUUUGGAUUGUUUGCCGCGAAAUUGGGAUUUUCUGGGUUCGACUUUAGAAACGAAAGCUGCGUGUGUUAACUCUGCUGUAUUUGAGCUCCAAUCUACUAACUUCCGUAUGUAUUUGGCUUUCUUCUUUUAUUAAUUUGAUCCUUGAGCAGCAGGGUAUGUUCCCUGUAAAUUUGUUCUCGGAUCUGUUGUGGUUAUGGAAUUGUGAUUUUCGUUUGAAUCCUUUGUAUUAUGCUUUGUUGAAGGAUUCACAACUUGUUGAAUUUCCUUUUAACUAUUUCAUGUUUGCUGAGAUUGUGAUUUCUAUUGCUUCAAUGGGCUUUGAAUGUGUGUUUGAAAUUUAAUUUGGGUGGAAUAAUAAAAAAUAGUUUGGAAAUGAAUGAGCAAGAGGGCACAGAUGAAAUUUGGGUGUUUCACAUUGCUGUCGCGAUAGUUUCUGGAAAAUGGAUUUAAAACAAAUGAUACACAUUGAUUGAUUGGACGAUUCUAGAACUUUUGACAUGCUUCUGUUAUAAAAUGAGCUCUAUAUUAUUUAAUUUAGCUAAAGAAGAUAUGUACUUAAAGGUGAAAAGCAGUAAGCUAAGUGUUUCAUAUUGUUUUGGGAUCUGAUUUUAACUAUUUAUUUACAUGAGAAUUUCAAAUUCAUCUACUGUAAUGUGCAGCCGUUUCCAUGGAUUAUUAGUGUGUUCAAACGAUUGAUUCUUAAAAGUGUCCCUAAAAUCGAUAGUGCUAGGUUACAGAUUAUUAUGAUAUUAUGUUUGUAGUAUCUUUGGCAUCUCCUUUGGUAAUAUUAAGUUGCCUCAAUUCUAGUGUUAGUUAUAAUGUGUUUGAGUGCAUUUGUUGUGAUGUGUUUGAGAUUUGCUUAGCUAGUUUUAGUCGAAGAGAUAUUUUUAGUUUGGAUUAAUUUGAGGCUUACACCUACCACAUUGAUUUUCAUAAAUUCUUGGCAUUACAAUAAUCUUGAAGUAGUUUAGCAAGGAAAAUUUUUGAACACUCGUAUUUGGCUUUAGUUGAGUACAACUUUUGGAAUAAAUUGAGGUGUGCCGUGCCAAAUAAUAUUUCAAAUGCAUGGCCCUCGCUUAAUUUAAAUCCUCAAAAUUCGAGGCACGCCAUUUAGCGAAUUUCCAUGGCCCUCGCAAAGCUAAUAACACGCUAGACUCUUUAGGCUCGAUUUUAAUAAAAUUACAUUCCUAAGUACGGGUGGGAAUUUUAUGCGGCCCAACUCUAAAUCCUAAAAUAUUGAAUAGAGUGUGCCUAGGAUUGCAAGUUCAUUUGAUGCGGCACAAUUCGAAAACACACUUUAAACGACGUUCACUUUCUCAAAUAAAUAUUAUGUUGAAUAAACGCGGUAAACAGUAAAAAUUAGCACAUAGGCUCUUCAUGUAAUAAAAAUCAGAUUUUGGCCAAUCACAGUAAUUUAUGCGACCGUGCUAGAACCACGGGAUAUGAGGGUGCCUAACAGCUUCCCUCGGGUCAACAUAAUUUCUUAUUCAGAAUUUCUGAUUCGCACACUCCAACUGGGAAGUCGAACAUUUUCCUAGAUUGGGAUUCAAGCUAAACUGGUGACUUGGGACACCAAAAGCCAAACCUUUCCUAAGUAGCGACUCUGAAUAAAUAAAUAAUCUCGAUCCGAAUAAUGUCACUUUAAAUGGAAAAACUCCCUUAUACAUUAUCUUUCGGGUAGGUGUGUAAAAACGAGGUGUAACACAACAUAUAGUCAAAUUUUGAUUUGAAGAAUCGACUAUUUGGUUAUAAAAAUAAUAAUACAGUAAUUUAUGUGUUCUUGAACCAACUGAUCCUCCUCCUGCUUCUUCGUACCCGAAAGAGCAUAACCCGGGGUAGGUGUGUAAAAAUGAGGUGUGACAAUCAGGCACAAUGUAGACACCAAGGAGGGGAAGUAGAAUCCCUUUGACCUCAGCAGGGGCCGUAUGAUCAUUUCAUCACAAAUUAGUCUUGCCCCAUCAAAAUCAUUCUUUGUGACGAAACACCAUGUCAAGAGGGCUCUUUGGAAGUUCACGUCUGUCGUGUUGCCGGAGGUAAAGAACCGGCUGCAUAUGACAGUGAGCCAAUACUUAGCCAAAUGGGUGAAUCAAUUGCAGUUCAGGGUGAUAUGGUCACGUAUCCAUAUUGGUUGCCCCCGUGCGUAGAGUGCAUCAGUCAUAAUAUCCCAAGUGACUCCUGGUGUGUCCUGGUAAUAGUUGACGUCACCGGUAAACCGGGGCAGCCGCAACACCUGGCGAAUAGUUUCUACUAAGGAAUCUACCCAUUUUCCCCGCACAGUCACCUCCCGCAAUGUAUGUGAUGGUUAGUUCACGUAGAACUCCCUUACAAGCAUCUCGUUUACCGAUGUAGGUUCAUAAAAUAGGAACUCAAUUUCCCUCCGCUGGAUUUCAUCAUACAUUUCCUCCUUUUCCGCACGGAGGACUGCCAUGUCUAUAGGAAUCUCAGGGAUGAAGCUCUUUGAGGCCUUGGCAUGAAAGUCGUCCUCUACCAAUUUUGAUUCGAACCUUGAGGCAUCAUAAGUAGGAUUUUGAGACGUGCCUGCCGAUCUCUUUUACUUCUUACGAGCCAUAUGACCUGCGAAGAAUACUAGAGAACCAUAAAUAUAACCUACAUGUGCCAGUCGAAUGGGUACUUAGACUUCACCACCCGAUGGCACCAACUAAUAUCUCCCAUUUAUUCCAUUCAUGCAUUAUGCCAAACCCCCAACUAGUAAGGUGUUCAAGGUUACAACCUCUGCAAUGGCCCCAAAACUUUCUUACGAUUUCAAGCAUACAACACCCUACACUUACACCCUCAAGUGAUUCAUGCCAAAUACAACACCACCACAACCUAGAAUAGGCACAAAAUGCCUCAAAAUAAUACAUCAAGCCCCAUAUUUUUGGCCAAAGGUGGCCCUCCACCAAAUUACACCACAAAAAUAAUUUCUAGGCCUCCAAAUCAUCUAAACAAACCCCACAAUUGAAGAACAACUAAGACCCAACCAUUUUAGCACCACACAAGUCCACAAAAGGCAAUUACAAAGAAAGAAAACAUAAACGAAAGCUAAAAUUAAGAAAAUUAACACUAUUUCUACCUAGGGUUUAGUUAAUCUAAAAUAAAACUACAUUACACUAAUUAAGAAGAAGAGAGAGAAAAGAAAGAAGAGAAAACUUACUUGAUGGAAGAGGGGAAUGGGUGGGUAGUGUUGAGAGGGAGAUUUGGAGAGGGUGAUAAUGAAGGUUUUUGAGUGGAUGGGUGAUUUGAGAGAGAAAAAAAAGAGAUGAGUGUUUGGGUUUGUGGGGGGCGUGUAUCUGCAGCUAUGGUAAAUAAGGGUUGGGGUAGGGGAGGGUUUAUAUUAAUUAGAAAGGGGGGAUAAAAGUAAUAAAAAAAUAUUUUCAAUACCUGGGCCCGUCUGGGUCUGCCCCGGUCCUACCGCGGUCGCGGUUGAACCACGGUAGAUGAAGUUCAGAGAGGGUCUCUGACCGCGGUUUGACCGCGGUUGCAGUGGAACCACGGUGAACGAAGUUCAGAGAGGGUUUCCCAUCGCAGUUUGACCGCGGUCGCAGUGGAACCGCAGUGAACAAAGUUCAGAGAGGGUCUCUAAUCGCGGUCGCGGUGGAAUCGCGGUCUGGGUAGUUGUCUGAUUUUUUGUUUUUUUUUCAUAUAUUGUGUUACACUUACAACAAUUUCAUGGGGUGUCUCCCAUGAAGCCCCUGAUUUAACAUCGUGGCACGACGCAGGAUGAGCGAUGUUAAGGCUCACUCGACCUUUGUGGUUCAGUUAGGUGCAGCUCAGACACUUCCUUUUUCUCGCUCAUGCCCACAUAUGGCUUCAAUCUUUGACCAUUGACUCUAAAUGCACGAGAGUCAUUCUCUGUGGCAAUCUCAAUAGCCCCUGAAGGGAAAACUUGAACUACUCGAAAUGGUCCAGACCAUCAUGACUUAAGUUUACAUGGGAACAGACGUAGUCUUAAGUUGUAGAGAAUACCAUGUCCCCGGGUUUAAAAUUCAUGUGGCAAUCUCAAUAGCUCCUGAAGGGAAAACUUUAUCUACUCGAAAUGGUCCAGACCAUCGUGACUUAAGCUUACCUGGGAACAACCUUAGUCUUGAGUUGUAGAGCAAUACCAUGUCCUCGGGCUUCAAAUUCCACUCAACAAUGUUCUGGUCGUGCAGCCUCUUCAUUCUCUCUUUGUACAACCUUGUUCUCUCAAAAGAAAGAUAUCUGAACUCCACGAGCUUAUGCAAUUCAGUGACUCUUGACGUGCCCGCAACUUCCAUGUCUAAGUUAAGUUGUUUAAGUGCCCACCACGCUUUAUGUUCAAGUUCCACUGGCAGGUGGAAAGCCUUCCCAAACACCAACUUGUAUGGUGACAUACCAAUUGGAGUUUUGAAAGCAGUUCUGUAAGCCCAGAGUGCAUCAUCUAGAUUCCUCGCCCAACCGGUUCUUGUGGCAUUCAUAGUUUUGGUUAACACACUCUUGAUUUCUCUGUUUGACACUUCAACCAAUCCACUAGUUUGCGGGUGGUAAGGAGUAGCCACCUUGUGGCACACAUCGUACUUAGCAAGCAACUUUUCGAAGGCUCUAUUGCAGAAAUGAGUGCCUUCUUCACUGAUAAUUGCUCGUGGUGUCCCAAAGCGGGUGAAUAUGUUCUUCUUUAGAAAUCCCACCACCACUUUUACAUCAUUGGUGGGUAACGCCGCAGCUUCCACCCAUUUGGACACAUAAUCUACAGUAAUAAGAAUGUACUUAUUGCCAUAGGAGCUGACGAAGGGACCCAUGAAGUCAAUCCCCCAGACGUCAAACACUUCUACUUCUUAAAUUGGGUUCAUAGGUAUCUUGUGGUGCCGGGAAAUGUUCCUAGUGCGCUGACAUUCAUUGCAGCCCUUCACCCAUAAGUGAGCAUCUUUAAACACUGUUGGCCAGAAGAAACCAGCCUCUAGCACCUUUGCCACUGUCCUAACCCCUCCAAGGUGUCCACCAUAUGCCGACGCGUGACAAGCCUGCAAAACAGAAAAUUGCUCUAUCUUGGGUACGCAUCUCCAGAUCAUAUUAUCAAGGCAUAUUCUAAACAGAUAAGGCUUAUCCUAGUAAUAAUGGCAACUUUUACAAAAAAAUCUUUUCCUUUGAACCGAUGAAAGGUCGUGGGUAACUAUACCACUAGCCAGGGAAUUAGCAAAGUCUGCAUACCAUGGCACUUCCUGAUGAGUGGUUGCGAGCAGCUGCGCUUCUGGAAAAGUUUCCAUGACUUCCUCAACCUCUACUAUGUUUUUAGCUCCCUCAAGUCAUGAUAAAUGAUCAACAACUUGAUUCUCAGUACCCUUACGACCACGAAUCUCAAGAUCAAACUCUUGCAAUAGCAACACCCAAUGAAUCAGGCGUGGCUUAGAUUCUUUCUUUUCUAUUAAGUACGUGAGAGCUGCAUGGUCAGUAUAUACAAUUGCCUUUGACCCUAUCAAGUAGGAUCGGAACUUGUCAAAUGCGAACACUACGACCAACAUCUCUUUUUCAGUCACAGUGUAGUUCAAUUGGGCUCCACUCAGCAUUCUACUAGCAGAGUAGAUUGGGUGUAUCAAUUUGUCUUUUCGCUGGCCCAGCACUACCCCCACUGCGUAGUCACUGGCAUCGCACAUUAGCUUAAAUGGUUGCUCCCAAUUGGGGGCAACAAUGAUGGGUGAUGUGACCACUCUUUUUCAACUUCUCAAAUGCUACCCUGCAAUCAUCAGAAAACAAAAGUGGGUGAUCUUUUUCUAACAACUUACAGACAUAGUUGGUAAUUUUGGAGAAGUCCUUUAUGAACCUCCAGUAAAAACCGGCAUGCCCAAAGAAGCUUCUGAUGGCUUUAACUGAAUUUGGGGGAGGCAGCUUUUCUAUUACAUCAACUUUCAUACGAUCCACCUCUAAUCCCUUGCUUGAAACCCCGUGCCCCAAUACUAUGCCUUCUUGUACCAUGAAAUGGCGGUUUUCCCAGUUCAGAACCAAAUUAGUCUCGAUGCACCGUCUCAGCACACGCGUCAGAUUUAUCAAGCACUCAUCAUAUGAAUUCCCCACCAUUGAGAAGUCGUCCAUGAACACCUCCAUUAUGUACUCAACCAUGUCAGUGAAUAUGGACAUCAUGCACCAUUGGAAUGUGGCAGGUGCAUUGCAUAGGUCGGAGGGCAUCCGUCAAAAGGCAUAAAUGCCAUACAGGCAUGUGAAAGAAGUCUUCUCUAUGUCCUCUGGUGCAAUGGAGAUCUGAUUGCACCAUGAGUACCCAUACAGAAAAUAGAAGUGUGAUCUCCUUGCCAAUCUGCCUAACAUCUGAUCAAUGAAGGGAAGUGGAAAGUGGUCUUUUCGGGUGGCUAGAUUCAACUUUCGAUAGUCCAUACAGAUUCUCCAGCCUGUGACGGUUCUUGUUGAGAUCAAUUCAUUAUUGUCAUUUGUCACAACUGUCAUGCCACCCUUUUUAGGAACACAUUAAACUGGGCUCACCCAGAUGCUGUCAGAUAUUGGGAAAAUAAUUCUGCAUCCAAUCACUUUAUCACCUCCUUCCUCACCACUUCCUUCAUGUUGGGGUUCAGCCUCCUCUGAUGUUCCUUAGAAGGUUUUUGCCCCUCUUCAAGUAAAAUCUUGUGCAUGCAGUAGGCAGGGCCGAUCCCCUUGGUGUCUUCCAUUGUCCACCCAAUGGUAGUUUUGCACUCCUUUAGUACAUGUAAAAGUUUUUGAACCUGUGCAUCUAACAAACUAGAUGAGAUAAUAACAGGUAAUAUGGAGUCAAUGGCUUUAACUCCAGCUUUGGUGGUUCUUCAAUGGAUGGCUUAGCUGGAGGAGUUUCUCUCUUUUCCAAGUGCAAGGUCUCAAACUCUAGAUUUCUCUCCCAAAACCUUUACCCUUUAAUACCAACACCCAUUCCGCCAAAUCCUCACCAUUCACUUCAUCUAAGUUCAUCAAAUAUUCAGCAAUGGGGUCCUAAAUUGUCAACAACUCAUCAUUAGACUCUACAAUUACAUCCAAGGCAUCAAUAAGAGAGCAAUUGGCGAACUCGCUUGGUCGCCUCAUAGACUUCUGCACAUUGAAUGUAAUUUCUUCAUCAUUGAGCCUCAUCUUGAGCUCCCAGCCUCACAAUCAAUCAAGGCUCUCCCCGUGGCCAAAGAAUGGUCUUCCUAAGAUUAUAGGAAUUUCUUCAUCCAUUUUGCAGUCCAAGAUUACAAAAUCUGCGAGAAAGACAAAUCUUCAUAGUCAAUCAGAGCUCUCCCCGUAGCCAAGAAUGGUCUUCCUAAGAUUGUAGGAAUCUCUUCAUCCACUUUGCAAUCCAAGAUCACAAAAUUUGUAGGGAACACAAAUUUACCCACCUGAAUGAGAACAUCAUCAAGGAUACCAAAUGGACGCUUCACAAUCCUGUCGGCCAGCUGCAAUAACAUAGAGGUGGGUCUAGAUCUCCCAAUCGCCAAUCUCUUAUAGAUAGCCAGGGGCAUAAGAUUAAUGAUGGCCCCUAAAUCACAAAGCGCCUUAGCAAAUACAAAAUUUCCAAUAGUGCAUGGAAUUGUAAAACUACCUGGAUCAGACAGCUUUUCAGCAAUAGGUCUAGUCACCACUGCACUACAGGUCUGAGCAAGUCUAACCGUGGCUAAGUCUUGAAAAUCAAAUUUCAGGGACAUUAAGUCCUUCAUCAUUUUCGCGUAUCCAGGCAUCUCCUUUAAAACUUCAAUCAGUGGAACAUUUACCUGGAUUUGUUUGAGCAUUUCAAAGAACUUUUUAUAUAGCUCCUCCUUUUGAUGCUUGGCCAGCCUCUCUGGAAAGGGUGAAGGAGUUCUCUUCUUCCCAAUCACUUGGGACUUCUCUUUAUCAGCUACUAUUUCAACUACGGGCUCUUCAACUGGCUCAACUACUUUUUCGGUCUCCUGCUGAAUGUUAUUUUCUUCCUGAGCAGGCUGGACUAUUACCUCUGUGAGUAUCAUAGAUUGAUCCAACUCAAUGGGAACUGGAAUGAGUGUCUCAGCCUAUAUAUUUUCUCGAGCUAUCUCUUACUCUACAUCAAGAUCCCUGCCAUUACGGAGACUCACCACCAUCAGCUGCUUUGGGCCCUGAUCUUUUGAAUUAAUCUGGGUGUCUGCAGGUAAUGUCCCAUGAGAACGAUUGUUCAAAGACAUUGAAAUCUAGCCCAGUUGCAAUUCAAUAUUUUUGAUUGUUGCGUCAUGUGCAUCUACUCUCUCAUUUAUUUUUGCAUUCACCUAAUAACAUGCUGCAUCGUUGCUUCAAGUCUAGUGAACCCAUCUUCUUGCCUUCUACCAUGCUGCUACUGAGGUGGGGGAUACCCUUGCUGCUGAUUGUUGUACCCCCUGUGGCCUUGGAUAAGGUGCUACAUUGUUGGGGGGUCUCAUGCCUCCCAUGUUUCCAGUGUUGUACUGUGGCUGAGGUGGUCUGUAUUGCUACUGAGUUUGCUGACCCCAAUUCUGAUUCCCCUGUCUCUGGCCUCCAUAGUUUGACACAUAGUUCAUGUUUUUAGGGUGCUAAUGAUGGUGAUCAUGUUCUGCAUUUCAAGGAUUACCAACUGGCCGAAUAAUGCAAGAUGUGCACAAGCCCCCAUUGGUAGUAUCUACAAUAUGCACUUGUUGUUUCUGCCCUGAUUCCUCCACCUUUUUGGUGAGUAUGCUCAUCUAUUUCAGUAGGAUCGCCAUAUUUUCAGCCAUGGAAUUUGAUGGGUCAAGCGGCAUUGAGUGCACCACUGGAGUGAUAGGUGUGAGCACGUGAUUUUUUCUUCACAAGAAUUACUCCAAAAGAAAUCAAGAUAAAAUAGUUUUUCCUUUGAGCGCAAUUUUGAGAGUUUUUCAUGCCAUGGAAUUUUAUGGAUCAAAAGGCAUUGAGUGCACCACUGGAGUGAUAUGUGCAUUUCUAGUUGUCCACCCCGAAUUCUAAGCCAUUUUGUCAAGCAGACUCUGACCUUCUCUCCAAGUUUUGCUCCCAAAUGCACCACCAGCUGAGGCAUCUACAAUGUUCUUCAUGCUAUCUGACAGUCCCAUGUAAAACUGUUGGCCCAACAUCUGAUCUCGAAUACCAUGGUGUGGACAUGUAACCAACAUUCCUUUAAACCGGCUCCAUGUCUCAUGUAGUGUCUCCAUUGGUUUCUGUUUAAAGCUCACGAUCUCAUCAAUUUGUUGAGCUAUUUUGUUGGGCGGGUAGAACUUGAUGUGAAAUUUCUUGACUAAAUCAUCCCAAGUUUCUAUAGAGUUUAUGGGGAGUGAGUUUAGUCAGACCUGAGCAGCUCCUGUCACCGAGAAUGGAAACAAUAACAGCCUGAUUACUUCCGGAGUUACGUUGUGUUGCCUUUGAGUUUUGCAAAUCGAUAGGAAGUUCUUCAAGUGUUGCUGAGGAUCUUCGGCUGGUGUCCCAAAAACCAAUCCCUUAUUUUGCAAUAAGUGCAGCAUGUUAUUCGUGAUCUGGAAUGAUUCAACUUGUAUCGUGGGAACAACAAUGGCAGCGGCAAGAUUAUCAGUUGUGGGUUGUGCCCAAUCAUAUAGUGCAUCCUCAGGCACAGGAGGUGCCACUUCCCUGACGUUUUCGUUGACAUUGUCUAUGCCACCCAUGUCAAUUUCAAGUUUGAGUGUUUGUUGGGAUUGUUGAAGUCUUUUGUUGGCACGGUUCAAUAUCCUGAAUAUUUUCUCGGGGUAUGUAAGUCCUUCAAGUAGUUCUCCAGUCCUCGUAGAGUUUCUAGGCAUACACAUGUGCAACCACGUCAACAACCGUCAAAAAAUUCAAUCAAAACUUUGGUGUAGAGAAAACUGACUACAUUAAGAAUUUUUGUUUUUCUAUCAACGGUAAUUGAUAAUUUCGUUAACUCCCCCGGCAACAACAUCAAAAUUUGAUCACGCCCAACUAUGCCUUAUAAAAAGGACAAUGCAGACGUUGCAAAUAUAACCUGAGUAUUCUGCCUAGUGUCGAAUCCGCAGAGAGUUAACCAAUCAAUCAUUAUUUUUAGACCCACUAAACUCUUGAGAACCACUUUUCCAAACGUUUGAAUCACAGUUGAUAGUGUCUUUAAUAACUAAAAUUCCAAGUAAAUAAACAGUUGUAAACUACGGAUGCUAAGGUUGUAAAUAAUAAUGAGAAAAUGUUAAGGUAAUGACUUCCCCUAUUGAUGGAAUCCCUUCUAUUUAUGUUUCAUACAAAUUAACCAACACCUCUCUAUCAAUUAUGAACGCUCAUCUUACUGUAAAUCUCUCCCGAGUAAUCACAAUAAUAUACUAAAUGCACUCUCCUGAGAUACACUAGCUAGCUUUAGUUAAUACAGUCCACUUUAGAUUGCACCCAAGGCUUCGUUGUAGUAUAGUGGGUGACCCAGGUUCGAUCCCCGCCAACGGCGCCAAAAUUUGAUCACGCUACUAUGCCUUAUAAAAUAGACAAUGCGGACAUUGCAAAUAUAACCUGAGUAUUCUGCCCAGAGUCGAAUCCACAUAGAGUUAACCUAUCAAUCACUAUCUUUAGACCCACUAAACUCUUGAGAACUACUUUCCCAAAUGUUUGAAUCACAGUUGAUGAUGUCUUUGAUAACUAAAAUUACAAGUAAAUAAACAGCUGUAAACUAAGGAUGCUAAGGUUGUAAACAAUAAUGAGAAAACGCUAGUUUGAAUCACAGUUGAUAGUGUCUUUAAUAACUAAAAUUCCAAGUAAAUAAACAGUUGUAAACUACGGAUGCUAAGGUUGUAAAUAAUAAUGAGAAAAUGUUAAGGUAAUGACUUCCCCCAUUGAUGGAAUCCCUUAUGUUUAUGUUUCAUACAAAUUAACCAACACCUCUCUAUCAAUCAUGACCGCUCAUCUUACUGUAAAUCUCUCCAGAAUAAUCACAGUAAUAUACUAAAUGCGCUCUCCCGAGAUACACUAGCUAGCUUUAAUUAACACGGUUCACUUUAGAUUACACCCAAGGCCUCGUUAUCCCUAAUCUCGCCUUUAAACCUGUAGUUAUUGAUCCCUCAUAUACUUUGGGAGUGGUGUUGUUCAACAAUAACCUAAAUAGGCACUCUCUCCUGGGUUAUGCGCACUAAAUAGGCAUAACUAAUUGAGGAUCCUGUCAAUUAACUACAACAAACACAAAGUUGAACACAUAGAGACUGAAACUAGCAAUUUGUAUUUACAUAAACAAGAAGUUCAUCCCCCAAUAAGUUCCAUAAAAAUCUUAGACAAAGGAUUUAGCUACUCAUAACUAUGGGUAAACAAGCUAAAACAAUAUUCAUCAUAAAACUUGUAAGAAAAAUCAAAGAAAAAAAGGAAGAUGUUUUGGGUGAUCUCUCACAGUUGGUUUCCUUACCAAAAUACUCUCCAAAUCAAUACAUGCCUCUCUUGGGCGAAGUCUAGUAAAAUCAAAGAAAAGAAGAAAGAUGUUUUGGGAGAUCUCUCACAAUUGUUUUCCUUGCCAAAAUACUCUCCAAAUAAAUACAUGCCUCUCUUGGGCGAAGUCUAGUGUUUAAAAUUGGGUUUUGGGCUAAAAAUCCCGUAUUUUGCACUUUAAUCCCUGAAGUUCUCCGCCUCUACCGCGAUUCUGCCUUGAGCUGUUCGCGUGGUUCACUUGACGGAAUUUCACCAUUGGCCUCUUUUUCUCCAUAUUUGAUCCCAAAAGUACUCCAUAACCUUCUCUUGUCAUAUAUGCAAAGCAUGAAAAGCACUAAUAAGAGCAUUUUGUUAUCACUUUUAUUAUCCAAACUAUACAAAAAGGUGGUCAUUUAGGGCCUAAUUAUAGUUAAAUUCAUCUAUUAUCAAUGAACCCUCAAGAGCAGUAGGAUAAUGACAGUUAAAGAGCGAUAAUUGAAGAAUAAUAUUAAAAGAAUGGUAAGCUGAUGAGCAAAAGAAAGAAAUAUUAUAUUGCCUUGAUCUGUGUGAAUGCAAAAUAUGGUCUACAAAUGGUGGGGACCCCUCUUUAUACACUAAAGGAAUCCUAAUGGUAGUACAAUUUUAAUGACGGAAGUAAAUUCCAUGAUUGAUACAAAUAACCGCCCAUGAUUUGAUCCAUUCCGAGAUUCCCACCGUGGUUUUCGACCGAUUACGAAUAUUGCCUUUCCGUUACCGCUUCCGCUCGAAGCUCCUCAUAUCCUGUCUCGAUCAUCGGAGAUCUCGAUCUCGACGGGUGCUCGAUUCUCGAACUCCGCACUUUGUCUUCGUGUUCCAGCCUGAUUCAUAAUGAGUCUGACCCUUCAUGCAGUUCUCUGAUCUCGAAAUAAUGACAAAAUCGGGCAGUCCCGAUUUUACCCAUAUAGCGAUUCAAUUGAAGUGAAACAAUUGCUUGUGGCCUAAUUCUAUAAAUUUAAUUCAUUAACUUAUCAUCCAAAUUUUAGGUUAAAUAAUACUCUUUUCAAUUAAAUUGAAUAUUUUCUUUAAUUUUGAAUAUUUACUUACGAAGCUGACCGGACGCGAGUAUCAACUAUGAAGUAGUCCUCAAAGGCUCGAGUACUGGUGCAGGGAACACUCUCCUCAAAAACCCUAGUUUGGGUGUCCUCCCAAACCCCAGAAAACACCAAACCAAAAGGAAAAUGGCAGAAACAGGACAAGACGAAGAAGAACACACAUUCCCAGUGAAAAGAAAGCCCCAAGAUAUUCCUGCUGCUGCAAAAGAAGAAGCUAUUUCCAAAUCCCACGAAGACGAUGAUGUAAACAAGAAGCAGAAACUCGCCAGUACUGAUUCGAAGAAACUCGAGGAAAUUGACGAGGAGGACGAAGAAGAAGAUGAAGAUGACUAUGAAGGUGAGGAGGAUGAGGAAGACGAUGAUGAUGACGUGGAGGAGGAGGAUGAUGAGCAGUCCAACGGAGAGGCCGAAAUCGAUCGUAAGGGUAAGGGGAUUUUAAAGGAUGACAAGGGUAAGGGAAAGUUGAUCGAGGAGGACUCGGAAGAUGAUGAUGAUUCGAACGAUUUUGGAAACGAGUCUGAUGUUGACAGUGAUACUGACCUCUCCGACGAUCUACUGGCUGAGGUCGAUUUGGGCAACAUUAUUCCCUCCAGGACUCGACGGCGUACCUUUCACUCCGGUCUUAAGAUUUCUGAUGAUCCCGCUAAAGGUGAUAAACCCUGAUGGUAGCGAUACUUAAUUUAGUUUUUGAGCUUCCAAAAAGCUAUUAAAAUGAUUAAUAUCAGCUCAUCUCUUCUCGUCGUAGCAAUGUGGUCAAUAGCUGUAUUCCUCCUGUAUUUUGACUUGGAUCUACAUGUCUAAUGUAGUUGGGGAAUUACCUUAUCCUUAACCAAUUUUAUUAAUCUAUAUUUCUCUUGCAAUUGUUUUUUUGCUUUUGCUUAUUUUCCAUGAUAGUUUACUUCUAAAGUUGCUAUUUGUAGCAAGUGCUUCAUCUUCUAUCCUUAGGCUUUGAGAUUGGCUUAUAUGAAUUUGGUGAUAGGCUAAUCUUGGUAAAUGAAUGUUUAUUUGACAUCAAUGUUCUCUAUCUAAGAUAGGAACUGAAUAGUUUAACAGAUGCUUAACGUGCCAAGGUUACUCUUUGAUCAUGUUUAAGAUGUGUACCGAAUUGUCUAACAGAUGUUAUCAUGAUGUGGUCAUGUUUUUGUACAUGCAUUUCUAAAGGAAAAAUUGGUCUGUUUAAUGCAAUCGCUGCUCUUUAAUGGCAAUCAGGGUAUUCUGCAUUGCAAGAACUAGGUGUUUGGAUGUAAUAUAAUUCUUGAUGCUUAGUAAAUCUGUUUACCAAGCUUUAUCUGCUGCUUGUCAUCUCAUUUCCAUUUCACACCUGAAAAAUUAUGAUGUUAAUAAUGUCAUUUUUUGCCAAUUUUUUUGGUGGUUCGAGGAAAGCCAGCAUCUGGCAGAGUAAAGUGUUCUCUCUGCAUGACCUAGCUCGACUGGUUAUCAGUUUUGGUUCAUUAGCAGUACAUUGAAAAUGGUCCUCUGCCUGGUAUAUGAUCUUUGUUAGGAAAAAUGAGUAAUUCAUCAUAUGGUUGCAAUUUUGGAAUCUGAAACUCAGCAGAAAUCUUCAAUAAAGAGGGCAUACAUGACCAGGUUAUGGCUGAUUGGCUGUAGAUUUUGCGCCUAAUAGCCCUAAUUUGGAUCUUGGGCGGAUCGUUGUUGUUGGUUAAAUCACUUGACAACUUGUUAGGUAUCAAAGUGAUCACAUGACAGCUUGGUUUAACAUAACAGUCUAUACUCUAUUGAUUUGAUAGACCAAAGUUUGCUGGGGAAUAAGAUUAUCAUCAAAUAGUAUUUGUUUGACCUUCUGAAAAGGCAAAAAGGAAGAUGGGGGAGGCGUGUUGGAUUAUGCUCCAUUUAGGACACUCUGCUUAAGCAAAAGAUUCGUUUUUUUUAGUGUCUUUGCAGUGACAUGUGAUGGAUUUCAUAAUGGAAGUUGCUGUUCUGCUCUAGUAAUAAAAGUUUGAAUAUAUAUGUAGAAAGUGAAGUAAUUAAUUUUGUUGAGGAAACUAAUGUGCAUUAAUCUUUAAGAGAUGAGAACUGACCAUUUUUUGCCAAUGAUGGAGCACCUCUAUCAAUCACCAACUUUCAUGUACCUUCAUUCUUUUGCUCAUUUCUUUGGGUGUUGGUAUUAUUACCAGUCAAUGUGACAAGAUAUUCUUGAGACUGUGUGAGUGGUGGACCGGGUCACUCUUCAGACCAUAGUAUUCAGCUGUUUUCUUCUUUAUCUUUAAUUCCUCCUGUGGAUGGUUAAAGGGCAAACAAAUGCCUAGUCUUGGCAGUUUUGGUUGCAUUGUACUCCCUGUAUAGCAGAUACUUAUAAUUAAGUGGAGUAUUACUCUGCUUCUUUCUUCUCACCUUCUGGUUAACAGAGGUAGAGAGAAAAACUGCAGUUCAGAUCAGGCUUUAAAUUGUUUUGCACUUUACCUUUGAUCAUUUCGGGUAGGGGUAAGGCUCGACUACAUAUUACCCUCCCCAGACCUCACCUAGUGGGAGCAUAUUGGGUAGUUGUUGUUGUUGUUGUUUACCUUUGAUCAUAAUGGCUAUAAACGUCACUUUUUUAAUGUAAUGUUGGUAAGUAGAUUUGUGUAGUUUGAUGAUCCAAACCCCAGGGCAGCUGGUUAAUUGCUGUCCAUUGUUGUACUGUAGAAGUUGGACAUGAUUGAGCUUGGAAGAUCCAGACUACCAUUGAUUGCGAAAUUCUUCAUAAUUUUUGAUUAAUACUCUUCAAAUAAGAAACUUUUCUUAUUUUGAACAUUGGGUGACUGAUACUGUAGGAUCCUUUUUUGUGUGUGUGUGUCUGUGUGUGAUUAACCUGCAGGCAAGAUGAAGAGUCCAAUAAUUAAAUUCAAAGCUCAACCGAGGGAGUUUUACCAAUUAAAGGGCAACAUUUAACACCGGAGAAGAUGACUAACUUUGCUGAUUAAGAAGACUGCACGAUUUGUUGCUGAUAUAUUUAUUUAUUUGUGAAGUCGUCAAAAAUUAGAUUCGGUGACUGCACAUCAAACUAAAGUCAAGUCCCAUUAUAAGUCAAGUCCCAUUAUUAUUAUAUAGAAUAGUACUACGAUUAAAGCAUGGAGGUGCGCAUAAAAUUAUCCUUAAGGUGGAGUUGCUCUAAUAUGUUUUUUAUUUUUAAUAAGAAAAGUUCUUGAUUACAUACUGUGCCAGUUCCGAUACCAAAAACCUAAAAGGAAUCUUCUUAUAUAAUCACUUUGAAGAAAGUAAAAAAAAGAACAGUUAAUUCGGAGUUAUUGAGAACUUGUUUAUCUCUGUUACCAGUAUGAUUGAAUACUCCACGUUAAUAACAAGAGAUAGAAAUAAAUAUUUCUUCCUCUAUUCCAAUUUAUGUGAACUUAUAUUUUUUAUUGGUCCAUUUUUAAAAAAAAUCUUUUUUUAAAUUUGGAAAUAAUUUAGCUUAAACUUCCAAUUCUAUUCUUAAUGAGAAAUUUUUAUAACAACAUAAAUAUUUUGGAUCCAUUUUUGACUUGUUUAUGACCACAAAUUUAAAAAAAAUUAUUUUUUCUUAAACUUCAUGCUCGCUCAAAUAUGUUUACAUAAAUUGAAACGGAGGGAUAGUACUAGCAAAUAAAUGGACCAUAAUGCUUUGUACUUUGUAUAAUGCUAUAAACCCAAAGAGUUGCGCAAUAUUGUAGUCUGCAGAGGCUGUAGGGCAAUUUAUAUAAAUUUAAAAAUUACUGCACCAAAGCAAUAAGUAUGUCACGACCCAAUUUCCAAAUUCGAUCGUGAUGGCGCCUAUCGUGAAGACAAGGCAGGCCAGACCGUUUCAGAACACCACUUAAAGCAGUUAGUCAGUUAUAUAACAGUUCGAAUAUAAAUUAAUGAUAUUAAUCAAUAUAAUUACAACCCAAUAUAGUCCGACCGGGGUGUCACAAGUCACGAGCAUCUAGGAAUGCCUUUAUUAAAUUUCAAAGUCUAUAAUACAUAGAGUAAACUCUGGGAAUCAAGAAGAAGAAGAAACUCGGUGCCGCGAACGCCAGCAAUCACCUUGCUUAGCUACGAUAGCAAUACCUUCAAUCCGCUGCUAACCCGCUACCGGAUGAACAGUACCUGCAACUGCACGCAAGGUGCAGGGAGUAGGGGUGUACAAAAAAAUUGACAAACCGCACCAAUCCGAUAAUCCGAGUCAAACAGAGAAAAAACCCGACACAAUUUGGUUUGAGUUGGUUUGGUAUUGGAAAAAAAACCGACCAUAAUUGGUUUGGUUUGGUUUGGUUUUAACUAAUGAAAGCCAAACCGAAACCAAACCAACCCGACACUACAUAUAUAGAAAUUUUAGGUAUAAUUAAUAUAUAAAUAUACUUAUUGUAAUGUAAUUUAUAAAUAUUUCUUAAAAAAUUUCANNNNNNNNNNNNNNNNNNNNNNNNNNNNNNNNNNNNNNNNNNNNNNNNNNNNNNNNNNNNNNNNNNNNNNNNNNNNNNNNNNNNNNNNNNNNNNNNNNNNNNNNNNNNNNNNNNNNNGAGAUUGGACUUAGAACUUUUGAAUGCUCCAAUAAAUUUUAUAGCCAUUAAUAUUAGUAAAUUAAGUAAUGCUAAUAAUCACUACUUAUGCUAACAAAAAACAUUCAAUUCAAUAUUACGAACGAGAAUGUAUUGAAUUCUAUUUUUUUGUUUUGCAAUAAUUUAGAUAAAAAUGCAUAACCUAUUUUUAUUUUGCUUUAGAUUUUUUUAUUUUGCAAUAAUUUAGAUAAAAAUACAUAACAUAUUUUUAUUCUUCUUUAGCUUUUAGGCAUAUAAUUAAUACUUCCUCAUUAGUCUAUCUAGUUUAGCAUGACUUAGUGUUUUAGAUUAUGUUUAUUUUUAUUAUGACUUUUUAAUUAGCAAUAUUUAUAUUACAUAAUUUUAUUGUCUUUAUUGUUGAAUACUUUAGGAUAAUGUCAUGACACAUCUCAUAUUCUGUAUUAUUUUAUUGAAAAAUACUUUAUAUAGUUUUAUCUUACUAGGAUUAAAGAAAUAUUUUGCGAUUAAAUAAUAGUUUUGUCCUACAAAGAUUUUACAGGAAAAAUAAUUCGAAAAAAACCCGAAUAACCCGAAAACCCGAGAAAAAUCCGAGAAAAAUUGACACUAAAAACCCGAGUUUUAUUGGUUUGGUUUGGUCUUUAGCUUUAAUAACCUGACACAAUUGGUUUGGUUUGGUAAUUUGUAAAAUCCGAACCAACCCGGCCUAUGUACACCCCUAGCAGGGAGUAAAGUGAGUACUUCUAACUUAUUGGUAAUAAGAGAGAAUAAUAUAUGAGCGAUAAGAAAACACGUAUGGCCACACCAAACUGCUAUAUAAGAUAGAACAACCCUUUGAGAAAAAUCGGAAUACUGUGAAAAUCCUUUUUAGAAAAAUCUUAAGAUCAGUUCAAAAUCUCUUUUACAAAGUCUCUUUUUCAAAUAUCUCUUUUAUUUUCAACAGNNNNNNNNNNNNNNNNNNNNNNNNNNNNNNNNNNNNNNNNNNNNNNNNNNNNNNNNNNNNNNNNNNNNNNNNNNNNNNNNNNNNNNNNNNNNNNNNNNNNNNNNNNNNNNNNNNNNNNNNNNNNNNNNNNNNNNNNNNNNNNNNNNNNNNNNNNNNNNNNNNNNNNNNNNNNNCAACAAGGCAAGUAACAGUAUAUAUGCCAAUGAUAUAUGAGUGAUAAAUGUCAUGCCACGUAGUACAAACAUGAGUGAAUGCGUGAAUGCAAUGCAAUGCGCAUGACCGCUACGGCGUGUAGCCCGAUCCAAGGGUACCGUGCGUUCACUAGGGGUGUGUACAAACUCCGGAGGGGCUCCUACAGCCCAAGCGCUAUAUCAUUGCGGCGUGCAGCCCGAUCCAUAUAAUAUACUACUGUGGCGUGCAGACCGAUCCAUAUAAUAUACUACUGCGGCGCGCAGUAUGAUCCAUGCAAUAUGCUACUGCGGCGUGCAGUCCGAUCCAUGCAAUAUGCUAUUGUGGCGUGCAGUACGAUCCAUGCAAUAUGUUACUGCGGCGUGCAGUCUGAUCCAUGCAAUAUGCUAUUAUGGCGUGCAGUCCGAUCCAUGCAAUAUGCUAUUGCGGCGUGCAGUCCGAUCCAUGCAAUAUACUACUACGACGUGCAGUCUGAUCCAUGCAAUAUGCUACUGCGGCAUGCAGUCCGAUCUAUGCAAUAUGCUACUGCGACGUGCAGAUCCAUGCAAUAUGCUACUGCGGCGUGCAGUCCGAUCCAUGCAUGUAUAAAUAUGGACACAUAACACUCGAGGCUUGGAAGCCUCCUUACAUCACUCUUCAUGCCCUCACAUAUGGUCCUCAGCCUCAAUCAGUCUAAAAUAGUCAAAAUCACAUCGGGCAUCCGUAAAACGAUAAUACUCAGCUCAAACAAUAGUUCAAAUAACAAUUAAAACUCCAAGUUUGAGAAAAAUAUAGCUGACUUCAUGAAACUGUGUGAAUCACAUGGACUGAGUUCAAAUAAUCUUUCAAAUAGUGAGGAAAACUGUGAUGAUAGUUCAUNNNNNNNNNNNNNNNNNNNNNNNNNNNNNNNNNNNNNNNNNNNNNNNNNNNNNNNNNNNNNNNNNNNNNUGAUGAUAGUUCAUAAAGAGUUCAAAUAAUUGGCAAUAAGCCCCAAGUAUGGCAAUGAGCCCAAGUCAUAAUGAUAACAACAAUCAUUUGCAAUUUCGCGGUGAAAACCAACAACCGAGACGGACCAAGUCACAAUCCCCAACAGUGCUCUACCACACGCUCAGGUUCAGCAUGCAAGUCACCUCAAUACAACACUAAGAUGUGCAAAUCCGUUGUUUCAAACCAUCAGGAUAUCAUUCCCAAGUAUUACUCACCUCGAACCGGUGAAAUUCCUCGCUCGCGACACCUUUGCCCCUCAAAUUGGCCUCUACGCGCGUCAAAUCUAACCAAAAUCAGUACAAAUAUAUCAUAAUAUACUAAUGGGACAACAUCUAAUCGAAAACAAUCGAAAUAUAACAAAAAUCUCGAAACUAGCAAAACCCGAGCCUCGAGCCCACAUCUCGAAAUUCAGAAAAAUUUACACCAAAACAAUUUUUAUCACGACACGAGUCCACACAUCAAAUUUACAAGAAUCGGAUUCCAUUUGACCCCUCAAAUCAACACUUUAAACUCACUAGGGUUUCAAGCACUAAUCACCAUUUUUAACCUUGAAAACCUUGAAUUCUUAGUGUUUAAUCUAUAUUUUUACACUAUAAUGACAUACUCUAAGUCCAAGAAUCCAUACCUGAUGAUUUCCCCCAAAAUNNNNNNNNNNNNNNNNNNNNNNNNNNNNNNNNNNNNNNNNNNNNNNNNNNNNNNNNNNNNNNNNNNUAAAUCCUCUUCAAAAUCGCUCCCAAACUCGCCUUAGUCCGAGGUCCAAAUGUUCUUCUCUUUUCAAACUUGUGAAAUCACUGCUCAUUAAACCCAACACGUUUUUCUCUUCUGCUGUCAUAUCUCCGCUUAUGCGGCUCUCGAAUCUGCGGCCUCUCGACCGCUUUUGCGGUCCAACUUAUUCUCCUAGGGACCGCUUUUGCAAUCAACUACCGUUUACGCGGUCACCGCCUAUGUGGUCUUCCUUCCGCACCCGUGAUCCAGGUCAACCUCCCAUUGGCCGCUUUUGCGGCUCACCCGCCGCGUCUGUGGAACCGCUUAAGCGGCUCCUUUUCUACAGACGCGAAAAUAGCAGAAGCAGCACAUCCAAGAAUGCCAAAAACUCCUACCACCUGCGUUCAACCAUCCGAAAUUACCCCGAGGCCCCCGGGUCUAAACCAAAAAUACAUAUAUGAUCUAAUACCUUAUUCAAACUUGCUCGAGCCAUAAAAUACUAACAUUAACACCAAAAGUCACCAAAUUCCUCCAAUCCAAGCCUAAGUUUCUUAAGAACUUCCGAAAUGUACAUACGACCAAAAGUCCAACCAAACGAUGUUCGAAUGACCUGAAAUUUUUCACACAUAUCCAAAUUUACCUAACGGAGCUACUGCAGCUCUCGGAAUCCCAUUCUGACCCUCAGAUCAAAAUCUCACCUAUCAACCGGAAUUCGCCGAAAUUCCAACUUCGCCAAUUCAAGACAAAUUCUACACCGGACCUCCAGAUUCGCUUCUGAUCGAACUCCUAAGUCACAAAUCAUCCCCCGAAGCUAACCGAACCACCGAAAUUCACAUCCGAGCCCUCUAAUCACAUAGUCGACUUCCGGUUGACUUUUCUAAAACAAGCUUCCUUCUAAGAGGCUAUGUGCCUUAUUUUCAACCAAAAUCAAUUCAAUUACACCCGAUCAAAUCUAAUACUGAUAUUGAAACAUGAAUCAUACAAUAAUGGGGAAACGGGGCGGUAACUCGCGUGAUAAUGGGUCGGGUCAUCACAAAGUAUAAAAUAUUUAUUUUUAUCGGCAAAGGGCCAAAUGUAUCCCUGUAAUUUCGAAAAAGGUUUAAAUAUAUCCCUCGUUACACUUUGAACCUAAAUAUAUCCCUGAUUUAACGGAAUGGCACGUGUCAUUAUCAUAUUGGCCAAUUUUAAAUAUCUCAUAAUUAAUUAAAAGGACUAAUAUCCAUACACGGAAGAAAAAGAUGGCUUCGUUUUAUUAUAUUCUUUCUCUUGAUCACAGCUACCUGCAGUCGCUGGCAUUGAGUGAAAUACUUCUCUAAUUGUCAUAACUUAUUUCUUCUCCGUCUUUUUUCUUUCGUUUUUUCAACCUAUGAACUACCAAAAAACUAAUUUUUUUCCCUGUAGUACGGUGAUGGGAAUUGACAUCCAAAAAGAUGAAAUACUUUUGGACAUCCUCAGCAGGCUGCAGGCUACCAGUGAACUCACUUCGUUUCAAGUGUGUUUCAAAAUCUUGGAAUACAUUGAUCUCUGAACCUUAUUUUUAGAGAAAAACAUCUCAAUCAUGUUAAGCACCAACCCAAUUCCCAAAACUUUCCUUUUUCCCAAUGGUCCAAUAAGGAUAAACAAUAUUACUUCUAUUGUUCUUCUUUAACCUUGGUUCAACUUGUUAAGAUAUCCGAAGAUUUAAUUGGCCCAGGCGAUUGUAUAAAAGUCUGUUCUUGUUGCGAUGGCUUGUUUCUCAUUGGGAUCUGGAUUAUUCCUAAUCAAGAAGAGCCUUCAAUAUUAUUGAUAUGGAAUCCCUCCACAGGAGAAUCAAUACUACUUCUUCGUUGCCUAGGCGGAGUUAGAAUUUCAAACUUAUAAAUUCAAUAUUUUGAGCUUUUUAAGCUACUCGGUUCUAAUUUAUUAAUUUAUAAUUAAUUAAUAAAAUUUUCAAGACAAAUACAUGGUUUGAACCAAAGUUAUUGGGUUCGUCGAACCCGGAGCCACAAUGCGUGCUCCGCCCCUAUGCUUAUGGUUGAUGAAAGACUAUAAUGUUGAAGAAUCUUGGACUCUUAUGAAACAAUAAAGGAAGAAGAGUAUUGUAGAGCAAAGUAGAGAGAGAGAGGGAAUUCUUAUUGAAUUUUGGGAUGAUUUACAAUGGGGUAAGACCCCUUUAUUUAUAGGAGGAAAAAUGACUUAGCCUCAAAGUAAAACUCUCUACAACAUAGACAUUCACUCCAAAUAGAAUUAUAUUCUUAACACUCCCCUUUGAAUGUCUACUCAAUAAGUAAUGUGGCUCAUUAAAAACCUUAACUAAAAUAAAACCCAAUGGAAAAAAAUUCUAGGAAAAAAAAGAGUACACAUGUUUAGAAAUGCGCCUAUUGGUUGCAUCGUUAAAAAAACCUUGCAAGGAAAACCCAGUGGGACAAAACCUUGUAAGGAAAAAAGAGUGCNNNNNNNNNNNNNNNNNNNNNNNNNNNNNNNNNNNNNNNNNNNNNNNNNNNNNNNNNNNNNNNNNNNNNNNNNNNNNNNNNNNNNNNNNNNNNNNNNNNNNNNNNNNNNNNNNNNNNNNNNNNNNNNNNNNNNNNNNNNNNNNNNNNNNNNNNNNNNNNNNNNNNNNNNNNNNNNNNNNNNNNNNNNNNNNNNNNNNNNNNNNNNNNNNNNNNNNNNNNNNNNNNNNNNNNNNNNNNNNNNNNNNNNNNNNNNNNNNNNNNNNNNNNNNNNNNNNNNNNNNNNNNNNNNNNNNNNNNNNNNNNNNNUAUAACAAGAUAUAUUUGUGCAUAAAUUGCAUUAAGGAAGUGGUACCUCAAGAUCAAGAAUUGUAGAUACUUCAAGCAACUUAAAUCCUUCAUGGAUUUUUUUUUCUGGUAAUUAAAUUUUUUUUAAUUAAUCACCAAAAGGAUGUCAAUGCAGCACUUUGAUGUUCUCACGUGUUAACUAGAGAAUCAUCCAACUAGACAUUCACUACAAUGCUAUACUAAACUUCUAUUUUACAGAAAAAACCGCNNNNNNNNNNNNNNNNNNNNNNNNNNNNNNNNNNNNNNNNNNNNNNNNNNNNNNNNNNNNNNNNNNNNNNNNNNNNNNNNNNNNNNNNNNNNNNNNNNNNNNNNNNNNNNNNNNNNNNNNNNNNNNNNNNNNNNNNNNNNNNNNNNNNNNNNNNNUCCAAUUCAUAGUGUGAUUCCUUAGUUCAGUAGCAAAUGAGCAAGUAAAGAAAAGAUGAUCCCUGGUUUCAAUCUCUUGCUGGCACAGAACACAUUGAGAAUCAACAGUUAAAGACCAAUGUAACAGUCUAGAUUUGGUAGGCAGUCUAUCAUGGAGGAUCAGCCAUAGAGUAAAGACAGCCUUAGGCCUCGCAUGAUUUUGUGUUAUUAGAUUCUUCCAAUGAACUCUCGGCAGUUGCCCAAUCUGAUACAAAUAGAGGGAUCUAAUAGAACAAACUGGAUUAUAUAGACCCUGCCUCAGAUGUAUCAUGUCAUAAGCUGCAAAAAAAUUUCGAACCAUCCAACUGGCUUGCUUAGGUACAGGAGUGUUUUCCACUUGUUGCUGCUUUAUAUAAAUAGAAUGUAUCCAUUUGACCCAUAGAGUAUCUUUUGAGUGUUUUCCACUUAGUACUGCUUUAUAUAAACAGAAUGUAUCCAUUUGUCCCAUAGAGUAUCUUUCUUAUGAGCCAAAUCCCAGGAUAACUUAGCAAUGGCAGCCCUGUUCCAUAUUAAGAGAUUUGUGAGAUUCAGACCACCUGCUGAUUUAGGUAAACACAUUUUGUCCCAUGCAAUGUAUGCUUUCUUAGUGAACCUGACCAAAUAAAGCUUCUGCAAUGAGCUUCAAUCAUUCUCAGAAUCUUGGAAGGAAUAAGAAACAGUUGAGCCCAAUAAGCCUGAAUGCCAAAUAAAACUGAUUGUACUAACUGUAUCCUGCCUGCAUAUGAUAAUUUUCGAGUAGUCCAUGAUGUAAUUCUGGCAGUGAUUUUAUCCACCAAAGCUUGCCACUGGAUAAGUGUCAUCUUCUUAGUAGUAAGAGGAAUGCCCAAAUAUUUGAAAGGCAAAACUCCACAGCCAUAGCCUAAUUGUUGAGUGAUCUGCAGUUUAACCUCUGAACUGACACCUCCAAAAUACACUGAGCUUUUGUUCAAGUUGGCUUUCAGACCUGAGGCUUCAGUGAAUUGAGAGAAAAGUUUGAACAUAGUAAGAACAGAUUGUGUAUCACCUUUAGAAAACAAUAGCAGAUCAUCUGCAAAGCUAAUAUGAGUGGUGCCCAGUUUUUUACAACCUGGAUGAUAUAUAUAAGCUUGAUGGUGCUUCAGUUGAGCCAAUGAUCUGCUGAGAUAUUCCAUAGCAAUUGCAAAUAGAAAGGGGGAUAUAGAAUCACCUUGCCUAAGGCCUUUGGCAGCUUAAAAGGAACAGUUGUUUCUCCAUUGAACAAUAUAGUAUAACUCACACUUUGAACACAUUGCAUGAUCCAGUUUAUAAACCUGUUUGGAAAUCCCAAAGCUUCAAGAACUUGCUGCAGGAAGAUCCACUUUACAAAAUCAUAAGCCUUUUGCAAAUCAAUUUUAAUCAUGCACCUUGGAGAGAUAUGAGAUCUGGUAUAGUUCUUGAUUAAUUCAUGGGCUAGUAUCACAUUGUCUGCAAUNNNNNNNNNNNNNNNNNNNNNNNNNNNNNNNNNNNNNNNNNNNNNNNNNNNNNNNNNNNNNNNNNNNNNNNNNCUAGUAUCACAUUUGCAAAUCAAUUUUAAUCAUGCACCUUGGAGAGAUAUGAGAUCUGGUAUAGUUCUUGAUUAAUUCAUGGGCUAGUAUCACAUUGUCUGCAAUCUUUCUACCUGGUAUGAAUCCAGCUUGGGCUGUACAUAUGAUGCUAGGCAUAACAUGUUGCACUCUGUUAGAAAGAACUUUAGAUAUCAACUUGUACAAUACUGAGAAGCAUGCAAUUGGCCUAAACUCCUUGAUUGUAGUUGGACUAGGAACUUUAGGGAUCAAAGUAAGAGAAGCACAAUUGACAGGAUAGUAAAUUCUGUUAGUAAGGAAAAAAUCCUUAACUGCAUGAAUAAUCUGUUUACCAGUUAUGUUCCAUGUCUUCUUAAAGAAAACUGCAUUAUAGCCAUCAAUUCCAGGGGCUCUAUCAUCUCCAAUAGCUUUUAAGCUUGCAAUAAUCUCCAGAUCAGAAACAUCUUCACUGAAGGACCUUCUCUGUUGCUGUGUUAAAAUAGGGCCAUUGGCCAUAUACUUUCGAUUUAUGGCUGGUAAGGAUGCAGCAGCUGUACCCAUUAAGGCUUUAUAAAAGUCAGUAACUUCUUUCUUAAUAUCAGCUGGACUGGAUAUCUUGAAACCUUCAACUGUAAUUAGUUCAGAAGUAUGUUUAUGCUGGUUUCUUUCUUUCAAGAUGGCAGAAAAAUACUUAUUAUUAGAAUCACCCAACUAGAUCCAUUUAGCCCUGGACUUUUGCUGUAAUAGACUUUCUUCUAUCAAAGACCAUUUCUCCAAGUUCACUGCUAUCUCUUUCUCCUUGAGUUGCAAUGCAUUAGUGUAGGCCAAGCUCAACUGCUUCUGGAUAUCCUUUAACUCUUGUCUACUAUCAACAAUUCUUUGACUAAUGUUCUUAAAAUCUUUGAUGUUUAAAGAUUUUAAAGGGCCUUUUAGAGAUUUGGGAUUAGUCCACACAUCCUUCAAAGUAGCCUGACUUUUACAAUGCCAAUUGUCUCUAAUGAACUGGUAAAAAUCUGCAUGAGAAGUCCAUGAGUUGAAGAAUCUGAAAGGUGGCUUCCCUAUCUUAGAAGUUUCUGUCAAUGUGAUCACCAUAGAGCUAUGAUCAGAUAUUAAAGGAUGCAUGACUCCAAUUAAUCAUCCAUUCAUAGUUGCCAAAAGAUCUAUCCAGUCUACUACAAAUUCACUACCACUUUGCCUAUUUGUCCAAGUAAAAUAUUCACCUUUCCAAGGAAGUUCAGAAAGACCAGCCUGGUGAAUGCAUUGAGUAAAUUCUUGAACCUCAGCCUGUUUAACAUGAUUAUCUGACUGUCUAUCUUGAGGAUACAGCACAUCAUUAAAAUCUCCAGUAACUAGCCAAGAUUCUGUAAUGUUAGUAGCCAAAUCCUGUAGAUUCUUCCACAGUGAUCUCCUCUGAGUUAUCCCAUUGAAUCCAUAUACCACAGUAAGGUAAUAGUUGAUAUCACCAGAUAUAUUCCUAACUCUGCAAUGGAUCAGUUGAGCAUCUUCUUGAAGUGCAGUGACCUUAAGAAACUGUGUAUCCCACAGAAUCCAGAUUCGACCAUUAAGAGCAUAUUUGAUAGUUAUUUAUAAAUUUCCAUCCAAGAACCAGCAACUUAGCAACCCUUUCUGCAUUAUGUUCUUUAACUUUAGUCUCUACCAAACCCACAAUGGUAAUAUUAUUCUUCCUAAUGUACUCCUUAACUUCCUUUUGUUUAUAUCUUUUAUUUACACCCCUUAUGUUCCAAACUAAGCACUUCAUUGACAUAAACUAGGUCCACCUUCAUCCCCUGGAGGCUUUCCCACUCUACCACCAGAAAUUAUUUCAAAGCGGUUACUGAUCACAAUAGGAGAUAAAGGAGGGAAGUUAGUUACAUUAAAUUCUGGGGAUUGAACCUGCUUUCCUUUAUCAACCUAUCUAUUCAUACUGGAUGCCAGUGGAGGUGAAACUGGAGGCUGUUGGCCUGUAGUACUCUUCAGCGGGACAGGUUGUGGAGGAGCAAUUUCCUGUUGCAUCUGGACAGUUGAUGUUUUAAUUCUCCAUUCCUGAACCUUUUGUGGUUUCUUCUCUGGGUCAGGCUGACUUGGCUUUGCCUUCAUAAGGCAGUUAUGUCCCACCAUGCUGCAUUUCUCACAAAAGUUGGUUUCCAAUCAUAAAUCACCUCUUGUAGAAAUUUCUUGCCAUUAGGAUCCAUUAUCCAAAUAUCCCCAGGUAGUUCUUUAGUAACAUUCAUUUCUAUUAACAUACGAGCAUAGGAAACUCUAGUUUGUUUAGUGGUACACUCAUCAGCAAAUAAGGGAUUCCCUAGUACACUGGCAAUCCUGCUCAAGGAUUUCAUUCCCCAACAUGACAUAGGUAGUUUGGGAAAUUUGACCCAUAAUGGUAUCUCAACAGGAAAUUCUUUAGUAAAAUCUAAAUCUGCCGACCACUGUUUGAGAAUCAAAGGUCAAGUUUGGGAAAUUUGACCCAUAAUAGUAUCUCAACAGGAAAUUCUUUAGUAAAAUCAAAAUCUGCCGACCACUGUUUGAGAAUCAAAAGUCUAUUUGCUAUAGAGUAAGGGCCAGCACACAUGAUCUCUUUAGCAUCACUCAUGGAUUUGAACUUCACAAUGUAAUAACCCCCUUCAUGAUAAAACAGAUCCGGCUCAGGUACCUGUGCCCAAUGAGUGUGGAUGAAUUUCUUCAUCGGAUUGUAUCCAGGUCCCUCCCCUAUCAUGUAAAUGAUAGGGCACAUCUCCACUUGUUUUCCUCCUCCUCCACCUCUGUUUUAUCCAGUAUCCCUACUGGUUGCCCUUCCAUCAAUAUCGGGGGAAUGUACUCCAAAGUCAUACCAUUAGAUGCAAAUCGAUUCUUCUGAAAUAGGCUAGCCCAGUUUCUCUGUGGUACAUCAGCAUUAUCUAUCGCCUCCUCACCUGGUUUAGCUGUCACAGCUUGAGUUUGGACUAAUGUGGCCUUCUGCAUGUGUUGAUUCUCAGCAGCACCCUGCUUCAUCGAAGGCAUCGAUGGUUCAAUCAAAGCAGGAAAGCUAUGAUCUAAGUUUAUCAGAAUUAUCUAUCGCCUCCUCACCUGGUUUAGCUGUCACAGCUUGAGUUUGGAUUAAUGUGGCCUUCUGCAUGUGUUGAUUUUCAGCAGCACCCUGCUUCAUCGAAGGCAUCGAUGGUUCAAUCAAAGCAGGAAAGCUAUGAUCUAAGCUACUGACUUCAUCAACCUGCUGUAAAAACACAUUUUCCUCCUCUUCAUCUCCAGAAUCACUUAUGAUUCCCAAAAAUUAUAUUUACUUAGCUUGAAAGCGAAUCAAAUAAGAUAUCGAAAACUGAUUGCACAUGCCAUUGACUUUAUACUUUUAAGUAUUUGAACUACAUGUCCAAAACUACAUGUCUUUCAUAUGUAAUCAAUUCUACUUGAAUUGUAUCUCUUUCAUUUGGCCAAUACUCUUAUGUCUAUAUUUGAUAGACUUAAGAUCCUCAUCUAAACUUAGUGCUAUGAUAGAUAUCGUCGACGAACAUGUUAUAUCGGUUCCAAUAAAUUUUCAUAAAGACAUAACAUAGAGAUCUCUUCAUUCAUAUAUUUANNNNNNNNNNNNNNNNNNNNNNNNNNNNNNNNNNNNNNNNNNNNNNNNNNNNNNNNNNNNNNNNNNNNNNNNNNNNNNNNNNNNNNNNNNNNNNNNNNNNNNNNNNNNNNNNNNNNNNNNNNNNNNNNNNNNNNNNNNNNNNNNNNNNNNNNNNNNNNNNNNNNNNNNNNNNNNNNNNNNNNNNNNNNNNNNNNNNNNNNNNNNNNNNNNNNNNNNNNNNNNNNNNNNNNNNNNNNNNNNNNNNNNNNNNNNNNNNNNNNNNNNNNNNNNNNNNNNNNNNNNNNNNNNNNNNNNNNNNNNNNNNNNNNNNNNNNNNNNNNNNNNNNNNNNNNNNNNNNNNNNNNNNNNNNNNNNNNNNNNNNNNNNNNNNNNGAUUUGCUCAUCUUCUUUAUCAAGAAGUUCUAUUUGAAACUGAUUUGUCUAUACGCUUUAAACUUACCAUAGAUUGUCCUUCUAGGACUUAAUAUGAGCAUUUGCAAUGAGAAUAUAGUUACUUUCUUUGGGUCAGCAAAUGCGUAUGGCAUGCUUUGCAAUAUGUUGCAAAUGAAUUAUCGUUUUAUGAACUUAAAGUUCAUAUUAUCGUAAUCAAGGAUCUAGACAUACAAAUAAUAAUCCAUUCCGCGUAACUUUUUCUUAAGUGUUUAUCAUAUCUCCCCCUCAUGUUAGAAAAACUAACUUGUUUUCUCAACUUUGAGAAUCCANNNNNNNNNNNNNNNNNNNNNNNNNNNNNNNNNNNNNNNNNNNNNNNNNNNNNNNNNNNNNNNNNNNNNNNNNNNNNNNNNNNNNNNNNNNNNNNNNNNNNNNNNNNNNNNNNNNNNNNNNNNNNNNNNNNNNNNNNNNNNNNNNNNNNNNNNNNNNNNNNNNNNGCACCGGCCAGGUUGCAGGUUAAUAAUAAUCGCACAUGUAACCAUCUCAUAGAUGCAUCUUAUGUGGUAUACAUGGCAGAUGAAUGGGACCAUAUUCACCUUUGAUAUUUCCAGCAUUCAUGGCAUUCAAUCCCAAUUUUAGUUGGUCUAUUAAUUAAUAAGAACAAGCAAUGUAAGAGAAUUUAUAAAGAACUUUCUAGUUCUUUAAUAUUUGCCCAUGUGAAUUCUCUAUUAUUUUUGCACGUCAUGCUUAAAUUGAUAUGACUAAACUGAUUAUACCAACUGAAUAAAUUUUCAGUAUUGAUAAGUUCAGGUUUACACCAUGACAUGUGCAACUAUCAAUAAACUCCGGGUUUAUUAUGAUAUGGGUUUUUAUAUUAAUAAACAUUCAUUUUAUUGUGGCAUUUUUUUGUUUGUGUAGUACAAACUGAAAAAUAAAGCGGGUAGCUUUUCACAUACAGAUUAUCCCACUACAAGUUGUAGUAAUAGAAGAUAUNNNNNNNNNNNNNNNNNNNNNNNNNNNNNNNNNNNNNNNNNNNNNNNNNNNNNNNNNNNNNNNNNNNNNNNUUUCCUUUAUUUAUUGUCUCAAUAUAAUCAACCGCUUUCGCGUGUACUUUGGAAACUGAAUAAGUUUCUUUGAGACUUACUACAACACAAUAAAUUGACUUGAUAAUCAAUUGUAUUACCCCAAAAUAGUAAUAAUUGGCUCUUCCAGAGCUCUCAUUUAAUUUUGUACUACUACAAAUUCAUCGACAUCCAUGUUAUGAAUAUCUCUUUUAAAGAGAAAGUGGUCAUGAUCAAAAUUAUAUGCAAGAUAUGUUUCUUGUAUUAUUGUUGUCCUUUAAUAAUCACAUUGUCAAAAUAUUUAGGCGUACAAUAGGUACGUGACCACUGACCAUUCAUGCCAUAAUAAUGAUAUUAUUUAUUUUUUUCAUCUCAAACCACAUUCUAGAGGUGAGUGUGGUAUAUUCAAUACCAAUAGCAUGUUCAUAUUCUUCCAAAAAUAAACAUGUCUUUAUAAAUCAGAUGUUGUCACAUUCCCAUCAUGAAUCGACCAUAAUCAUCUAUAUGUGCUAUAUAAAAUCUCAUGUCAAAUCGAUGACAGAUAUUACUUUNNNNNNNNNNNNNNNNNNNNNNNNNNNNNNNNNNNNNNNNNNNNNNNNNNNNNNNNNNNNNNNNNNNNNNNNNNNNNNNNNNNNNNNNNNNNNNNNNNNNNNNNNNNNNNNNNNNNNNNNNNNNNUAUAAUUUCGUCUAUUGCCACGUCCACAUCCAUUGAUACCUUCACGGUAAUAAUUUUGUCUUCUUUCAGACUUAUCACAUACUGCUAUCACAUCCUCUAAAAGGAAUGAGAAUGGAGCAAAUUCAAUGGGACGGAUUUUUAAUUCUUUGCUCACAAUCAUACAUGAUUUUGAUCAUGACAAGACAUAGAAAUUUUACUACUUUAGGUGGGUGUAAUUUCUUACAAACUCCACUAGAGUUAUAAUCAAACUUUGUUGUCUUGCUUGUACAUAAAAUCAAAUUAUAGAAUUUCAAGAACUUAAAAGAGAAAAAUAAAGUAAAAUACUUACCUUAAAUCCAGAAUUUAAUCAUGAAGGAAGUUNNNNNNNNNNNNNNNNNNNNNNNNNNNNNNNNNNNNNNNNNNNNNNNNNNNNNNNNNNNNNNNNNNACAGAACAAUUGACAAUCAUUAUGCUCAAUCCCAAAGUUUUUACUCAAUUGGUUAGAGUCUCGUGCUGAUAACGUGUUAUGAAACAAUAAAAGAAGAAGGGUAUUGUAGAGCAAAGUAGAGAGAAAGGGAAUUCUUAUUGAAUUUUGGGAUGAUUUACAAUGGGAUAAGACCCCUCUAUUUAUAGGAGGAAAAAUGACUUAGCCUCAAAGUAAAAUUCUCUACAAGAUAGACAUUCACUCCACAAAAAAUUUAUUCUUAACAUGGACAAAAUUGUUCGUUGUAUCAAAUAAUGGAAUUCAGCGUAUCAUACCAUUAUACAUGUUUUCAGAUGGUGAAGUACUACUCAGGUAUAAAGGAUGGAGAACACUCACAAAAAUUGAAUAUAGGAUAAUAUCAGCACUCUUUUUUGUUACUACAACAUGUUAUUCUUAUAAUUUUAUCUACUGAUUUGAAAUGUAAUGCCUUUAGAAAUUGCGUACCUUCAAUUUAUUAUAUAGUUUAGUUUUGACUUCUAUGUAUUAAUUAUGUUAGUAAAUCAAGUUUUCUUCUAGAUGCACAUGUGCUCAUUCUGUUCAUUUUGUUAGUAACUCAUGCUUUCUACUUGGGAAAGUGUUACUGUGUAGCCGCCAAAAAAAUAACAGUCGAAAAAAUAUAUAAAAAUUAUAUAUAUAUAUAUAUAUAUAUAUAUAUUAUUUUAUUUUACACCGACAAUUUCCGAAUAUUUUACUUUCCAAAAAUUGUCCUUGAGGUUUCGAGCUAUAAAUAAUUUCUGACUCCGGCUAAAAAUGAUAAUACGUCUUUCUACUUCACGAGCAGGGGCGGACCCCAUCUUAUAAAAAUAGGGUUUACUUGAGUCCGCUUGUUCUAAGUGGAUUGUUUGAUUCCAGAUUAAUAGUAUAUGGGUCUGAGUGUGCAUCUGGAUUUUGGGGACCUAUCUAUACCAUAUACUAAACUUUAUUACUAAAAAUGUUCAUAAUUUGGUAUUUACCCGUGUUAUCCACAGUUUCACUACAAAAUAUAUACCAAUCCAAAAUUUGGAGAUUUUCCCAUAAAAAACACGCGAAAUUAUAGGCGCCAGAUCUGCAUGUGAUCCUAUCACCAUUAAAUUCGAAUUUUGAAACGGAAGGAAAUCUCAUUGUUGCGUAAUUCUCUCCUUAUCCAUAUAUUUUCCACCACUGAUAGCCAUUAGAAAGCUUGAAAGCUUUGAAUUCAAAUUUCGGUUUUCAAAAAUCAUUAUUUAUUUGGAUUGGGUGUUGUUGUAAAUAAUUCGGAUUAUGUUUAGGAGUUUAUAUCUAAAUUUUGAGGGAUUUUGGUGAAGAUUAGACUUGGUUUUCACUGAAUUUCAGAUUGAAACUCGCCGAAGAAGAAGACGACAUAUUUCCAGAAUUGUAGUUAAAUUGUAGAUAAUUGUAGAAUUAUAUAUAAAUUGUAGAUAUAAUAUAGAUAAAUUGUUGAUUGGGAAGACUAAAACUUCUACAAGUCUUCUACAAUUAUGUCGAAAAUACCAAUUAUGCUACAAUUAAAAUGGGAAUUGGGAUAUUAAAAUUCAAUAUAUUCAGUUUGUAGAUAUCAUGUCCAAAAUCCCAAAGUUGAAAAAAAAUCUAUUCUUCCAUAUAUUCUCCACCAUUGAUAGCCAUUAAAAAGCUUGAAAGCUUUUGAAUUUAAAUUCUGGUCAUUACUUGUUUAGAUUGGGUGUUAUUAUAAAUAAUUCGGAAUAUGUUUAGGAGUUUAUAUCUCAAUUUUGAGGGGGUUUUGGUGAAGAUUAGACUUGGCUUUGACUGAAUUUCACAUUAAAACUCGUCGAAGAAGAAGAAGAAGACAUAUUUUCAGAAAUUGUAGAAAAAUUAUAGAAUUGUAGAUUGAAAAGACUAAAACUUCUACAAGUCUUCUACAAUUAUGUCGAAAAUGCCAAUUAUACUACAAUUGNNNNNNNNNNNNNNNNNNNNNNNNNNNNNNNNNNNNNNNNNNNNNNNNNNNNNNNNNNNNNNNNNNNNNNNNNNNNNNNNNNNNNNNNNNNNNNNNNNNNNNNNNNNNNNNNNNNNUUCUACAAAUAAACUACAAAUCAGUUUAAGUAUUGUAUAAAGUUGUAUUGUUUUUAAGAGUAUCUACAAAAUUAUUACAUUUAUACUACAAUUAAACUACUAUCUUAUGUCAAAAAAAAAUAUUGAUAACAAAAUUUGCUCUUCAUCUAUAAAAUUUCUACAAAAAAACUACAAAAAAAAAAU